AGAUCAAAUAAAGGUCCAAGAACAAAGCAAACAAAAUCACAUCCUCUCCCCUCACUCUACAACUCUGAAUAUAUACACAAGGAAUAGAAAAUAUUAGGAAUAACAAACUUCUCUUUUAAUAUGAUGUGUUAGUUGUAUUCCACAAAGGGACUUUUGCAUUUAAGUAUGCCAAAGGCUCAGAGGCAUGCUUUCAAAGUUGCAGCAACAAAAGAAAAAGUGACGUUAUGAGCCUAGGAGACAGAAGCAACAUGCAUGAAAGUUUUUGGAAGCAAAAAAAAGGCCUGAUUAUGAAACAUCUGGACUUUGCUAAUAUUGGAGGAUUCUCUCAUUCACCAUGAAGUGCUGGAAUUUGGCGAUUCACUAAACUAGUAGAAAUGGAAAAAGUAUCUAUUCAUACUCAAGGUAAUUUUUCAUACAGUUACUUUGCAUCAAGAUUCUGUUAGGAGCACCAAUUUGGUUCAUAAGACUACCGACAUUGGGACAUUCAUAACACAAGUUCUAGAUUUUAAAUUGGAGCACAAAAGCAGCACUAGUUGUUUUAGAGAUAUGUGGGAUAAAAUAUCUGCAUUCUCUAAAGUUACUUUGUGUUUUUUUAAUAAUUGUAGAGCAUAACCGAUUCAAGUACAAUAAAGUGUGAUAGAAAGCUCUGCUUGCGUACCAGGAAGGAAGGAAAGAAUGCCUAGGAAUAAAAAUCCAUAUGCCUGGGACUGAUCACCUGCCAUGUGUCCUGUGAAUACAAAGAAGGAGAGAAAAAGAAGCACUAAUCCCAGGGCAAGGAGAAAGAGUGCAAGGGCAAUUGACUUCCAUGGAAUCUUCUUGUAGGACGUCGGAGCGUAAACAAAUCGAAGAUCUACAUCAUUUUCUUCACUACUACCAUCACCGUCUCUCUCAUCUGCAGCAAGAGGUUGGUAAUGAACAUGGCGUCGGGUUGCCAUAUUGGCCAUCCAACAAACACUUCAGCCCAAAGAUCCAGCCACCGUUCUAUCAAAAUCAAACUGUCCAGUGAAAUCUAUGAGAAAAUUCAGAGGAGAAAAACAAAAUGCUGGUGAAUAUUAAGGAAGACAAUAAUUAUCAAAAAAACAUAUAGGAAGAUAAUGGAAGAGUCACCCAUCAGGCAUGCCCAAAAUUCAUCUAGAACUGCUUCUCACACUAAAUAUCACAGUUAAAAAGCCACUUACAGUAUUAGAAAGUGAAAAUGUAUCUUGACCUAAAAACUUUUGGCAAUAAAUAAUUUAAAAAACAGCAUUGUCAGCCAUUUUAAAUGAAUUCAAGAGUUUAUCUUCACCUAAUGAUUUGCAUUUUAGAACUUAAAAAUCCAUAAGAAGAUAUAAAUCGUGGAAUCAUUGAUUCCUAAGAAAACUAAAGACGAAUCCCAUGGAAGAAACUCAUAAGAAUAAUCAUGAAUAGAAAAUACAAUAAAUAUUAUUCCACUUUCUUCUCGUAAUAUUGACUCCAAAUAGAGACAUAAUUUUCCUUAAGGACAGCUAGUAAAAUUACAUAUCACUAUCCUGUUAUCUUACUUGAGGUUUUAUUUAUACAUUUAUUGAUGAGAAAGUUGGCUUAGUUGCUGAUGCAACUUUUGCCCGCUGGUUGGCAGCUCUCUCCUCUGCACACUAUAGCUAGGGAGAUUUUCCAAGGUUGACCCAAGAUGUUGAUGCUCACACAGUUGUAAGUUGUAACCAUUACUAUAACCAUCCAACAUUCUCUCAACUAUUUGAAACCACUUAUAGAUCCUCAUCAUUAAGAUUCCUAUCUAAGACAGCAUAUGAAGUUAUUUCUAGCUUAUCUAUAUCUUUUCUCACAAGCUCUCAUGCUACCUUAGAUCUUGCCUUCCUUUUUCUACACCUUGAACAUAAAUUAAAAUACCUCUCCUUACUAGGGCCCCUUCAAAUCGGCAUUCUACAAGCAUAUAUCAUUUCAAUCAAUUAUCCAUCACCUUGCCUUUAAUUUUUGCAACACCUCAGCUCCUCCAGUAUACUAAUUUCUCAAUUGAGCCUUCAUAGUUUGAUCACAAAUCUAACCUCGUAUUUCCACUCAGUUGCCUAGCCUUUUUGAACCCUUUCUAUUGCCCAACAUUUUAAGCCAUACAGCAUAGCAAGAAUUAUUGCCAUUCUAUAAGAUUUCCUUGUAUGUUACCUAGGCAUGCAUUUGAUCACAUAAUACCCCGGAAGCAUCUCUGUACUUAAUCUAACAGGGUUCAAUUUACUCUAUUCACUCUGAGAUAUCUCUUAUCCUUCAAUCUUAUUUGGAAUCCUAUCUUUGUCUUUAUUCCCAACAUUAUUUUAUACAUCCAAAAGAAUUUGGAAAAAAAGAUUGACUUUCUUGAGCAGUGAGCUUAUGUAUGAAAUAAUACGAUCAUAGGUCAUCUUCCUGUGCAAAGUUGUGGAGCACUCUUGGGAAGAGUCUAUCCUGUGGCACGGAAGUGCGCAUGAGCGUUGCAGUAGACCCGAGAGGUCGGGUUGCUUGCAGGCACUUAAGGGUGUCGCAUGUGUUCAGUUCGACAGAAUUGCUGGCAAAAGGUGGCUUAAUUUUUGAGACGAGCAUAUGACUACUGGCAGGAUCAAUCAGGUAGCACGUCCAUCAGCGACUCCAGAUCCCCGCCCCAACCAUCCCCCAAUCCAGCGGAGGGAGGACACAGGGGCAAGCCGGACAUUGUCGCAUCAAGGGUCGGCAACUACGGCAAACUAGAAAUCCAUGAUAAGAGAAUCAAAUAAAGCAACUGAUCAUGGAAUCCCACCAUAUAUACCGUCUACAAAGAACAGAAUCAAAUGAAAUCCAGCUAUAUGCAGAACAUUUAGGGCAUCGAAUCAAUUGAAAAUACAUAACAAAUUUCGUUCCACAAAAGAGCUGGACGUCAUUAGCCAACGAAGGAUUCAGAAGAACCGAUAUCCUACAUAGCUGUGAUGAAGGUAAAAAAAAAUUACAAAUUAUAUCCAAAAAGUGGUCUCUUUGCCCCCCCAAGAAAAUGAUGAAUUUAGGAAGUUCAUUCUAAUCCUACCAAAUUCCAUUAAAGGACAGGGAAUAACCAGAAGAGAAUAAACAAUCGAAUGUUGAAAUUUACGUUAGAUAUGCAGCCAACCAAUAUUUUCCUGCCCUCAUAUAAACAAAAAGACGUCUCUUUUUUUCUGAAAAUUAUGAACUUUGGGAGAAAGAAUAGCACUCAAAUAUAAAUUAACAAAACUCUAAUCCAAUUCGAUAACAACAGGGCGGAGAACAAAAGGGAAACGGAGGGGACAAAGAGGUUGAUACCCUUCAGUAACUGGAGCUCUGGAUCCAAAGGAAGUCACUGCUAAGAAGAAGCGGGAUUCAGAAACCGAUCUUCGAACCGCGACGAAGCCUCGAUCCCGGCUAAUUGCCCGAUUGCGGUCGAUGGACAAGAAAGAGCAUGGCGAGCAGAAAGGUCGAAAGAAAGGGACAAAACGCAAACCGACACAACCAUCAAAAUAUCGGCUGGGCUAGGGUUACUACAACUUUGACGCGUUUAUUUAAGGUUUUUUUAUUUAUUUUGUUUGGAAAAUCUGGGUUUCUAAGAUCUUAAUUGUCUUUAUCAUUUAGUGUGUUUAUUAUAAUACUAGUUACAAUGCACGUUCGAAUAUACUUGGCUAUGUAUUACUAAAGAUUUUAGAUAUACAAUGGAUUAUAAAAAGAUUUUAGCACAGAACAAGUAUAAACUAUCUUUCCCAUAAAAUUAUUUAAGAUUUAUUUAAUAUAUUACAUUGUUAAUAGAGAUACAUUAAGUUUUGUUAUGACUAACAAAUUAUUAUAAGCUUUUGCAGGAUAAAUUUAUUAUGCAUAAAACCAUAGGAAUCUUAAUUUAAGAAGAUUUAAUGUUCUUGGACUUGUCAGAGGAUAACAACUAUUAAUUUUUUUAUAGAAUUUUAGCAUGAUUUAGAUCUCAAAUUGAUAGAUCUAAUUAAAGUUAUUAUGAAAAUGGAAAAGUCAGGAAACAUGGCUGCUUUAUAUAGUUUUAAGAUUUAAUGAUUAAAUGAAAUAUUAAAUAUUGAAAAGAAAGAUUUAAAAGUGGCAAACAAUAUAUAAAAUAGUCAAAGCUGACAUUAGAUAUGAUGAUGAGGAGUGAGAUUUUAUAUAUGAUGAUAUGUUGGUGAUUGUCGAACAUCAGUAGAAAUUAAUAUCAAAGUGGAGAAGAAAACCUUGCCUUGUUCAUGGUAGCCUCAGGUUGUGGUACAUUUUUGCUACCCUCAUGCCUAAUGUCACAUAGACUUUCUCAAAUUUAUCCUCUCAGUAAACCUCAAAACCGAGAUAGAGAGCCACCACCCAUUCUACUAGGAGAUUUUGUCCUCAAACUUCAAAGUUAAAAAUAUGUUUCCUUACAUUUCAAUACAAGUAAUAGUUCCAUUAUUUUUAUGAAAUUAGAAAAUCAAGCAUAUAGAACAUCUAAAGAAAUAACUUAAGGAGGCCUUGCUUUUUAGCUGGACAUUGGUUAUUUAGAGUGGUUUGAUUAUCGCAUACCAAUAGGGCAAUAAUAAGACAAAGUUACAUGAGCAAAACGAUAACACCAGUGGAACAAAAAAUAGAUAUUAUAAAAAGAUGUUUAAAGUGAAUGUGAUGUGAAACUACGAACAAAAAUCUAAAAUCAAAUAUAGUUUUCAAAUUAUAUGAUAGGAUAAUGUUUAUAGAAAACCAAUUUGUAAGAGUGCAAUCUCUUUAGUUAACUUUGUUCUACAUGAAAUUUCCAGGUGUAGGCCAGUUGAUUGUAGCCCAGUUGCAGCAUUUGCCUAUGAAAUUUUCCACUGUCAACAGCAGGACUGGGAUUAGGAGCUCUCUUACUCUAGAUGAUCCACUCUUAAUUUCUUUAUACUAUAGAUCAAACUCUAUUUGCUGGAAAUCCAGCUGCAGCUAUCAAAUCAGCCACAGACAAUUUAGUGCACAUACAGAUUGAAAUAUCAGGCACUGAAUUCUGGUAAAUAUAAAGCCAUCACAUAAGAUCUUAAAUAUUACUUCUGAAAUAUCAUCCAAUACAGUAAAUAUGUCCCACUAGUUUAGAAGCUAAUAAAAUAUAAUACAUGUUUUUUUUGUUUGACUAUAAAAUGGCCCUGCUAAAAUUCUGCAAUGCCAGCAGGAUUGCAUAUUGAUACAGUUCCAUCAAACUUGUAUAUCUGCUGUAAUUUAAUUAGAAUAUCUAGAGGUACAAAAUUAGUGAACUGCAUGAUGGUGUUGGCUAAAGUGUAGCAACUCUAAGCUGUGAUUGUCUUCUGCAUAAAUGAUUCGUCCAUCUUGCUGUAUGCAGCAUCAGCAAAGCUACAGACCCAUCAAACUGAAGAUGAUGCACAUCAUUCCGCUGGUAUUUGAAGCAACUCUCGAAUGCCUUCGCUAACCUGAAAGCACACUAUGUUAGGAUGAAAAAGCUAAUUAAAAAUUGGAUAAUACAGAUAGAACCCACCAAAUGUCAUUUAUCAUAAGAUGAAAUGAUGUAAUAAUAUUCAAGAUGCAUUUUGAUCAAUUGAUCAAUAUGAUGAUGAUGGCAUCUUAAAAAUGCUCUAUCAUAUUUCGUUUUUUUUUUUCUUUUAGGCUGGUGACUAGGAUUGCAUAAUCCCUUAACGAAUUGAUGAAAGAGGUUACAAUUUAAGCAUGCCUUGUAGAUGCAAGCAAUGGUCCCACACAAUGUCAACAACAACCUAACACACGAUGACUGACCAAAUUUGGCUGUCAAAUGACAUUGUUUCAUCUUAUCUCAUAUCUAGAAACUCGUCCAUGUUUCUGUGAAGCAGAUAUAUAAAAUCAUCACAAAGUUACCGCUCCCUUGGUUUCAUUAAAUUGGUCUAGAAGUUUCCCAGUGUUCCAAAAUCUGGUUCAUGCGGCUGCUUAUGAACUCACCUAUGCAGAUGCCACAAGGUGGACUACACUGCAUUGGCCCUCAGCCACAUAUCGAGCUGCCAGAUGCCUACAUAGGUCCGAUCAGCUUGCCUAUGCAACUUGAGCACACAUGACUUGUGAUGAUGAUAGAUGGUAAGUCCCUUCAUGAAGAAAAGAUAGGCUCUUAGGUGACCUUUUGAAAAUUGCUAACUUAAAUACCACGUCCCGUUUACUAGCUAGGAACUUUAAACUUAGCUAUAUGUCAUGUUUGUAAAUUCAUUUGCGUUAUUGACCAAACAGAAAUCUGAGCAUAGCUCACAAGGAUAUUUAUUAUUGUUAUUAUUUUUGGUUAACAUAUCAAAAUAUAAUAAAAUAAGAUUUCCAAUAAGUGUAGAAGUGUAUAUUCAAAUUUUCACUCUCUUUUUGAAAUUUUAUUCAUUUAUUUCUGAAUUUUGACUUAUUUUAUCCAGCUCUACAAAUUAUCUUUAUUUUCAAAUAUUUCUAACAUACCUAGAAAUAUUAAAGUUUCCUAUGUCUUCCACCUUAUCAGUUGUCACUAUAAUUUAUAGAGGAAACGCAAUUUGAUUCAGCCUUCAACACUUAAAACCUUUAGUUUGUUUGAACUUUUCUUCUUUUAUGUUAGAGAGAUCAGUUAAUGCAUCACUACUAGUAAUACAAUUUGAAUGUGGGAAUCGUUCGAUAAUCUAUUUUUAAACUGCAAAUUUGCAGAGAAAGUCUGUAUACAUUUAUGGAGAUUGCUGAAGUACCGUAGUAGACUGGCUCAAGGUAGAUCUAACCUAUCCAUGAUGAAGGACAAGAGUAAGGGAUGGAAAAAAGAAUGAGUCAUGACGGUCGUAGCUGUCAGUCGGCAGAUAUGGUCAGAGAAGAGUAGAAGGGUGUUCAUAAAGGAGACUCUGGGAGAUAAUGGAUGUCAUCCAAUGAGCUAAAGGGUUGCCGAGUUCUUGGAGACUGCUGCUUUCUGAGAUAGACGUAGAGGAUGUGAAUUACUUAUUCAGAAACUGAUGGUAAAAUGAGAAGGCCUUCAGCCUUUGGACCUUCUUCUUUUGCUUUAUUUUUUCCCUCUUCAUUUUUCUUCUUUUUUUUCCAUAGUUGUUCUCUUCGUAUCUGUUCUUAAUAAUCUGCAAUAAAAUUCUUGAUGCACUUCGGUGCCUAUUGUUCUCUCAAAAAAAUGACAAUGCAGCUGAAAAGAUUGACUCUUAGCAUGUUACCAAGUUCAAGCAAGACUUUGCAGAUCCUACGGCUCAAAAUUACUGGGGCCAUAUGCUAUAUUUUUGUGCAUGUGUGUGUGUUCGUGUGUGCACGCACAAGCAUAAGAGAGAGAGAGAGAGAGAUAAUAACACACACCAAUUUUAUUUGAGCUUUGAUGUUUGCAAUAAGGUGAGUGUACUCAUCUAUUUGCCUGUCAAAAAUUAAAAAAGGAUGAACAUUAUGCAAAAAUAUAAGAUGAAAAAAUCAGAACAACAUAAACAAGAAAAAUACAAGCAAAAGAAAAUGUCUGAAGCAUUGGAAUGAAAGAAAUAGAAGGUAAAAGGUCUCAUGCAUACAAAUAUGCUACUCUAUUUGGAUCGGUUGGUUUCCAACUCAUUAGCAUUUCUAGGAAGAUAAGAAAUGGAAUGCUACCACAAUCAACACACUAAUCACCUUCUCCAUGAUUCCUCACAAUCACCAACUGAAGAAAGGACAUUGUAGAGUCAACUUAUAAAAUCAGGUAAAUGAGGAUAGAGCCCAGAUUUAAGUUAAACCCCUACAGUAUCUAAUCACCACUAAUUGACAGUUUACCCACCAAAGAGAAAUUGUAGAACAAGUAGUACCAUUCCACCAGCAUAUCUUACAAGCCAAUUACCUGUGGGCUUUCAUCACAGUGGCAUUGCGUAAUUCCAACAUGAAUAGCAUUAUAUGGAGAAAGAUAUCUAUCUGGUAUAUUAUCCUAACCAAUAAGCCUUACCCAUCCAUGGGACCAUUUUUACAGAAAUACAACUUGCAAUAAUCUGUGUUCUUACAAAGACUAAAUUCCCAGAUCCCAAUCCCAUCAUUAACUUCCCUUUUUUUGCCAGGGCAGAAACUGAUACAGAAAGAAGGUGAUAACCAAACUGAGAAGAUGAAAGAAAAUAAAGAACAAUAGGUUAACUAACAAAUUAAAGAUAAAUAAUUGACUGUUGAAAAGAACUUUUCUCAUGCAUUAUUUCAUCAGAAAAUCCACAUUUUAAUCACCGGAGCCUGCAAGCAAUCUCACUCAUGUUUCAGUUUGGCAUGCAUGCACACAUGCAAAUGUCAUGCAAAUCUUGCAAAGUCGCAAAGAAUUAGUUAGAUUGAUAAGCUAUGUCUCUGUUCGAUUCCUAGUUAACUGCUGGUGCAAUGUUAGUAUAUUCCUAGUGGGAGCAUGAGAAGGUUUGGAAGCAGAUCUCUCAAAAAUACACAUUGAAAAGGAAACAUUUAGAAAGAGCAAGUUUCCUGAGACACUUCGAAGUGGGUGGGUCAAUCCAGAAAGAAGCUUUCUGCUACUAAGGUAUAAAUAUGUGCCUGCGUGUGCAUACAGGGGGAACAUGAGCGGUGUAUAGUAAAGAAGGAUGGCUAGUACCUUGCUAGCCUUGCUUCCCUCACUGAAAUGAAGUCCAAUGCUUCCGGCCAAGUGAAUUCCACAUGAAAACCCAAUCCAAUAUCAACACAUAUGUGGCGUGUAUCAGGCCUGCAGGCAUGCACAUAAAGAAAAAAUACCGCCUAAAACAAAAUAAUGAAUAUGAAACUUUAACAGACUACAAAUAUCUAAUGAAAUAUAGAAAAAACAUAUGAAUAAGAAAUUGACUAUGUUUAAGAUAAAGACUGCCAAGUCUGAUACAAGGAGAUUGAACUGAUUUGACGGUAUGAAGUCUGCAGGCUUUUUAUCAAUUCAUACCAAAGCACUGAAAAGUUAAAUAUUAAGGUGAAUUGAAUCUCAAUGUAAAAUAGUCACAACAAAUAAUCAAUAAAUGUGAACAUACGAGCUUAGCAGUACUGAAUCAAAUAGCAUAAUAUCUAGCUCAAAGCAAAGGUAUUCUAACCACCUUUUUUGAUUUCUACUGUAAGGCCCAAGCAAAGAAGCAAUAGCUCUACCCAAGAUCAUGGGCAUAUUGAUUCCCACUUUCCUUCAUCGAUUCCUUCUAAUGCACUAUGCAAAUUAAACAGAACAAAAACAUGUCUUCUAACUAAAUCUAGAAGACAUCAUGUAGGUAGGAUCCAUUAUAUUUGACUAUCCAAAGAUAAAGCCUAUACGUUCAUCAGUAAAAGUACUAUGAGAUUUAACCCAAUAUUAAUAUUUAAUAGUAUUCUAAAGAUACUAAAGAGAAUCUAAUAAGCUCUAUGAUUUAGCUACAGUUGAUUGUUAACCAGUCCCUUUUUUAUUAAUAAAGUUUGAUAUAUUAUACUACAACAGAUUGAAGAUCAUGCAAAGAAAAGAUGAGGCAAAGGUAUCUACAGUUUUCAUGUUCUUACUUAGAGGAUAUACCUUCCAACUUCUCCACCACCACCAACCCCCCCCCCCCCCCAACCCGAAAAAAAAAACAACCUUCCACAUAAACAAACAAACAAAAAAACAAAUUCAUUAGAGACCCCAUAAACAUUAGAAAUUAACACCUCUCCUAUCAUUAAUAUCUUCACUCUAAGUAAUGAAUGAAAAGAACAGAACUCUAAAAUUAGCUUUUUCCCACUGCCCUAGCCCAAGUAAUAACAGAAACUUUACCUUCAACCUUAACAACAUUCCCAGAAAAUGUAAAUUACUUUGUAAGAACCUGAAAUUACCAUAAACUUAGAAAUUGGAGUUAUUUUCUUCCUGUGAAGUUUACAUCUUUCUUUGAAGUUUGAACCAUUUUCUUGACUGGAGUGUACAUAUCUAGAUAUGAUUUCAUUUCUUCGUCCAAACAAGUCCGAAUCUGUAAAAUGCAAAUUUUGAUCAAAUCACACAUCGCAUAAGAAGCUGGUUGACCAUUGGCACCAAAAACAACAAAUAAUUAAGCCAUAUCUAGAUAAGAUGCGCACUAAGGUGCCAAGGUCUCUUCGAGCCUAGGGGCAAUGCAAGACACGCCUUGACGAAGUGAGGCAUCAAAAUAUCAAUAUACAGAUAAUUAUAAUGAAUACAUGUUUUUAAACAUAUUUAACAAAGAAUUAUCCAAUUAUAAACACAACUAAAAAUAAAAAAACAUUGUACAUAAAUUUAAAUAAUUCCUAUUAUAAGAUCUGUCAAUCUAACAAAAAAAAAAAUGUUAAGAAGAAGAAGAAGAAGAAGAAGCAGCAGCAUGGGCAGGGGCGCCCUUGAAGAAGAAUAAGAAGAACAAAGAGAAGGAGGAGGAGGAGAAAGAGGAGAAGGAGAAACAGAUGGACACUCACCUCUCCAUUCCUUUCUUUCUCGCCAGGUUUUCUCUUUUUUCCCCUUUCCUUCCUUUUUAACAAAUCAACAAAUGGGAUCAACAGCUGGAUGUUAAUUUGGAUAGCUAAAACUUUCAAGAUUUGCUUAGAUGCACUUAGCAUGCGCCUGACUACUUGCACCUUGAUAAAAGUGCACGCCUUUAGCACCUUUCUAGCACCAGGUUAAAGGGGCCUCGCCUCAAUAGAAGCAACACACUGGGGUCCUACUUCACUUGUGCCUUGCAUCUAGGGGUGCCUUUUAAAACACAGGACUAAGCAAAAGAGGGGAAAGAGAUCAAGAGAGAGGAGAAGCAAAUGGAAAGGGAGGGAUAUAGUUCAACAAACUCUUCCCCUUGUUAAACAUCUUCGUUCACAAUUGUUGAUGUAGCCCCACAUGAUUUUGUUCAACAAACUCUUGCAUGUGGGGAUCUUCAUAAUCUUUGAAAAUGUGAAGAGAAAGCAAGACUAUUUUUCAAAUAUGACUCUCCCUUAAAGGAAAAAAUUUUAAGGGGUCAAAACAUAAAUCCUCGUGAUCAAUCUUCUAUAUAUUUUCUUGGACUUGAAUGCCUCUAUGUGAUGGAACAUCAUGAUUAGUGAAUUCAUAGGCAUACAUAGAUCAUGCAAUUGUGCGUGUUUCAAGAUAUGGAAAAUGUGAUUGAAGAACCUAGGAGGAGUAAGAGAUGUUAUCACAUAAGUAGGCCUAUGAGAUGAAGCUUUAACUCCAUCAUUCCCAUGGAUCGGUUCUUUGGCCUCUUUCUGAUUUUAACUUUGCAUAGUACGAAACACAACUAUGAUGAUUGAUCAUUUGAGGAAGCAUUAGCUAUCAUGAGUGGUAAUAGCAUAGCUUGAAGUUUCUUAAAACAAUAUUGAAAGUUUCUUGCUUGUUUUUCAAACUGAAUUGCUUGUUUGUUUAAAUCCUUUGUCUAUUUUUUCUUCUAUUCUACGCAAGUAUUGUUCAUAUAGAUGAAGUAAUUUCUCAUGAUGUUGAAGAAGUUCAUCAUGAUCAUUAUUGGUGUGAAGCACGAUUCAAAAAUCACAGUUCUGCUUGAAGAGGAGGAGAUAAAAGAAAGAUGAGAGAUUGAGCUGAAGCUUUGAUUACAUCUGCUGAACUCUAAAACAAGGUUUCAAAUACCAAUACGGACCUCAUACUGGUUUUGUGCCGAAACAAUAUGGUACCAAUUGUACUGCCCUUUUCCAGCAGUAUUUGAAACCUUGCUCUAAAAGACAUCACACAUUAUCUAUAUUUAGUGAAACCUAUAAACACUAAAGGACACGUUGAACAUUAACAACACAUAAUUAUGGUACAAUAACCACCGACAAUUAAUAACUAAUAAAUGUUAUUUUGACUGGACUUUUGAUUGGACUAAUAAAUAGGCUACUCAAAAAUGUGCUGGUCCGAUGCUCUUGCAUCAAACCACAUCCACAAAAGAUGAACAAUAAGCCUUGACACCUCCUUUCAUGUUUUUUUCUUUAAUGGUUUUGACAAGUUAGUCACUUGAUGAUGAAUACGCAACAGCAAACAUGCCUAUGCAAAACAUGAGGCAACUAAAUGGAGAAGCUAAGCGUAUGUUUGGUGUUGUUUCUACUUUAAAAAAGGAGAAAGAAAAGCUACAAGUUAGGUUUUGCAGCUUCUCUUAAGAGUGCUUUUUUUGAUUUCUUCUUGUAGAAGCACCAUUUAGAUGAUAGUACUAGACACUUUCAUGAAGUGCUUUUUUGCUUUAAAAGUCAUAAAAGCACUUUGUUUAAGCAAUACCAGUCACACCCUAAAAGAACACUAGCGACUUACCAAAAGAAUUCAAAACCCAAAUGUCUGCAUCUCUAUCCUCCUUCAAACUUGAAACAUAAUAGUUUAAAUACAAGAUUCAUGUAUUUUGCACUCAAAUCACCUACAUGCCAAGGUAAUGCUCAGAAACAACUAACCCUUCCAAGUACACAUUAUUUUACAUUUCCAAUUCAUCCAGUAGCACAAUACAAAGGCUUACAUUCCACAAUUCAUUUUAUUCUCCCCAUAAAUUCAUUAUUCUGAAACACUGCAAAAAUCCCUUUGAAGGUUUUAAUUGGAUUAUUUAUUCCUUGGGCUUUAGUUCAGCUAUCAAGAUUAUUCGAUAACCAAUGUUCACACUCUUCGGUUUCCUGAACAUCAUAAUACCAACUUCUAAUUUUAAGAAUGCCAUAACUAAAACCUUCUUUUCUCAACUACUCAUAUGUUGUCAUCAAAGAAAUGGCAAUUACCUUCUACUCUUCUUGCUUAAGUCUACCUAGCCAAGCAAAAUUUCAAAUUCACCACACCAAAUUAACUAAGACAAGUUCUUUGUUAGAAAGCUAAUAAGUCAGAAUGUUAGUGCCAAUCAAUACAUUAAUGACGACAAAUGCAAACGAGUGUGUGUGAAUUCCAAUGCAACAGUGGAAAAAUGCAUCUGUCAUACUCAAUGACAGACAAACAACUAACUUACGAUGCCGAGCAACCGUUGACAACUCCACAACAACUGAAGAGAGCAAUAAAAAGAGCAAAAUUUUCAUAAGGACGAAGUCAAGAUCAGAAAUUUACACAUCCGCCUGCAUGUAGACUUCAGACCCAAGAUUCACCAUGGUCCGGAGGGACGUCACCCCAUUCUUCUCCAAAUUCUCAAUGUUCCUCCUGAGAUCUUGGCUAUUAUCUCAUGCCAUUACAUUAGGUCAAGCAAACAAACAAACACGAAUAGCUCGGCAUAUAUAAACACAUCAAUACAGCAGCCAUCCACCAAAAGAGGAGUGAAUGAAGAGUGGAAAAGGAUACAACACCUUCUGCUGCUGGAAGACCUUGUCCCUGAAACCAAGAAGAGAAAGGUUAGAGCUCUUCCUAGAUUGCAGCAAUGGACGCAACGAGGAGGAUUGGACGAGGAGCAGUAGGUACCGCUGGGCAAUGGCUUUGACGAGGUCGGGCUUCAAGCGGCGGUCGACGAACUCCUCAAAUUUCAGGACCUUCUCCUGCCGAAGGCGAGCGUCAUCCAUGGCUUCUCGUCUGCUAACCCUUCGUUUGGAGUCUCUGCAAACAACCCCUGUGCCAGCUAACCUGCCCAUAGAUAUAACAAAGAUAAAGCUUCGUCAGUAUUUGACAUGAGAAAGUCUUCACAUCAGCGAUGGCCCAAGCGCUAGAAGCCAUUCUGGCCUCUGAGAGUCGCCGUCCCUCGAAGCCAAGGGAAUCGAAAAGGCGGAGGCCUGGGCGUGGGCGGGUGCCGGCGGCGGCGCGAGGAAGCAAGGAGGUUGGCGACCGCCGAGGAAGUGGAGGAGGGAGAAGCAAGAGGAGAUCGGAUGGGAGUGAAAGAUACCGGAUCCAGCGCCUUUCACCGUCGUCGCCGGCUCCACCGUCCGCUGCAGCACCGGGAGGACGAAGAGAGGAGGAGACGGAUGGCAGCGGGCCUAGGGGCGGUCCAGGGGUAAGUGGGUAAGUGGGUGAAGAUUUAAGUGCUCCGGAACCAACCCAAAGCUGGCCCAAACCAAUGAGCUCCAGGCCGGCCCGGGCCGAUUUCGAACCCAAGUCAAGAAUAUAUAGAGCCGCGCACAUCAGAGUCUAAACGUGAACCUGACUUGUGCUAUGUACGGCGUGCCUUGCAGGAAAGAGAGAGAUUCUUUUAGAAGAUGCGAUGGUUAUUGGAUGGAUCCUGCAGGCUUCAAGAGGGGUUGGCGAUUACCACCCGCUGCUGAGAAAUAUUAGAAUCAUGAGCCGUGAUAGGUUGGUAAUCCAGGCCAAGCAUAUAUUCAGAGAGGCCAAUGAGGCUACGGAUUGCAUGGUUUCUUUUGUUGCCAACCAUUCGGAGGAUCACUUAUGAGUGGGAGAGGUAGAAUUACCUAGUGCACUCCGGAAUGUUUUGCUUUUUGAUUUUCUUGGUUGUAUCCGUACACGUUGUGUAUGAUAUUUCAAGUUUAGCGGAAAAAAAAGAGAACCUGGCCAUCCCAAUCAGUUAUCAAAUUUUGAAACCAGAACUAAACCCAUCAAUGUUUGGACCAUCCCAAUCCAACCCAACUCGAUCAAUAUUGGAUUCAUUUGGAUUGGUUCUCGGAUUAUCUAAUUUUACAAAAAGCAAAUAAUGCACCGAUUUAUCAAAAAAUAUAUUACAAACUUAUAAAUGACAACAAUUUCCGUAUCCAUCAAGUUAUUCGCAAGAGGGAGUAAUUAUUAUCCUAAUAUAAUCUGAGAACCAAUUAUUAUCCUAAUAUAAAUACUAAAAGGUCAAGAGAGAACUUACAAGAUUAUAUAGUAAAGAAAGGAGAAAAGAGAGUAAUUAUUAUCCUAAUAUUUAUACAAGUAUAAACAAAUAUUUGAAUUAAAUAAAAAUUUACUAUAUAUUAUAUAAGUAUAUGAUAUAUAUUACUAAAAAUUUACUAUAUUUAUAUGAUAUACAAUAUUAUAUGGAUUAGAUUGGGUUGGUUCAGCUUAUUCAACUCAAAUGUGAGGCUGGAAUGGGACCAACUCAAUCCUUUUUAUAUCCCCAACGAUAGUCGGUUUAGUUUGGUUCUCAUGCACUCCUAGCGGCAUAGCUAAAAUUACAAAUCAUAACAUCAUCCACAUAAAAAAGAUACAAUAGAAUUUAUAAGUCUAAACAUCAAAUCCAAUACCUUUUAAGCUAUCUACAUGGAAUUGAGUGUUAAAAAAAUACAUGAACACUAAAGCAGAAUGAUCAAAAUUUUUGUUUAAAUAUUUUGAGAAAAAUUCCAUCAACAUUCUCAUCAACAAGCUCCACAUGAAGCAUAAAGAGCAAUAAGCCACUAGGUUGGGGACAGGACAAAUUUCUUCUUCUUCUUCUUUUUUCUCUUUAUUUUAUUUAUUUAUUUUUUGCUAGAGCGGAUGGAUUCAUACGUGACUACAAUUUUUUUUUUUGCUAGAGCGGAUGAAUGCACCCAAUAAAGUCAGAAAACAAAAUGCUCCAAAGUGCUCAGGAUACCUCACCAUUCCCAGCUCACAGGUAGAGAUGGGCAUCGGGGUCUGCCGGGCCNNNNNNNNNNNNNNNNNNNNNNNNNNNNNNNNNNNNNNNNNNNNNNNNNNNNNNNNNNNNNNNNNNNNNNNNNNNNNNNNNNNNNNNNNNNNNNNNNNNNNNNNNNNNNNNNNNNNNNNNNNNNNNNNNNNNNNNNNNNNNNNNNNNNNNNNNNNNNNNNNNNNNNNNNNNNNNNNNNNNNNNNNNNNNNNNNNNNNNNNNNNNNNNNNNNNNNNNNNNNNNNNNNNNNNNNNNNNNNNNNNNNNNNNNNNNNNNNNNNNNNNNNNNNNNNNNNNNNNNNNNNNNNNNNNNNNNNNNNNNNNNNCUUCUCUCUCUCUCUCUCUCUCUCUCUCUCUUUCUCUCUCUCUGUCUCUCUGUCUCGAUCUCGAAAUUAUUAGAUGGACCAGUCGAGGUCCAGUGGACCAGCUCAAAACUGGGGUGAGAACUCAUCAUGUUAUCCACCGUACACGUGCCCCGGACUUAGGACUGGUCCACUGGACCUGGUCCAUCAAAUACUCUCUCUCCCCCCUUCACCCCCCGCAAACCCCCUCCCCCAAGCCCCCCACCGCCCCCUCCGGGGAGAUCUCGGCCGGAUCUCGCCCAAUCUCGACGCCGCCAGCUGCUACCGGCCAGGAGGCGGAGACGACCGCGGACGAGGACGCUCGGAAGAAUCCCUCUAAGCGUUCGACGAAUUGAUCCGGUUAGGGCACGCCUCCGGGGAGAUCUUCUCUCGCUCCCGGACGCUUUCUUCUCAUCUCUUGUUCCCCUAUCUCUCCUGUAGGUACGCUCCAUUAGUCUCCUCGAAUCUUCUAAUUCUUUUCUUGCCUUGAGCAAAACGUGACAAAAACUUUGAGUACAUCCAGCCAAUGCAAGGAGUAAGCAUUCAGUGGUAGUCAAACAAGGGGAUUGCGUGUUAAGUUUCCCUGUAGGCUGUAGAAUAAAACUAACAAGAGCCACCCAUUGAUAUCCUUAGUAAUUGAUUCUCCCAGCCCUUGAUAAGUGGUUUAGUUGGAGCAAUAGGCUUUAAUUGCGAAUCUAACUAGUCUUUUGGAGUGUAUUACCUACUGAAUUUAUUGAGGAAGGGAAAAUUACAAGAGAAGAAGCAGAAGAAGAAAGAAAAACAAAAAAUUAGAAGAGAGAUGAGAAAAGAAAAGGAAAACAGAGAAGGAAAUGAAACAAAUAAGAAACAAGCACAUCUGCCAAUCACUGGUUCAAUCCCAAGGUGAUGUGCUAGUCUGCAUUAAGCCAUAUCUGGAUGUGAUAUGUUCCUGAGUGCCUGUUCCAUCUUAUUCAGCGAAAUCUCUCCUUAAAUCACAGUUGAUGAGCAAAUAUCCGAAGAUCAGGAAAUUGUAGUUUCCUCCAUUUUUUCGCAAUGAAACCCAAUUAAAAAAUGAUUUACGGCAUCCUUGCCUGUUCCAUUGCCUCCCCCAGCAACAUGUCCAUCAUUUUUUCCAAUCCCUUAAUCUCUGUAGGCUGGCACUUGAUAUCCAAAGAGUAAUGCGUGCGAAGUCCAGAUAUGACUUUAAUAUACCAAAUGAAAUAACUUUCUGUCUGUUUUAGCCACAAGAGAGAUUCAGAAGAGAUACCUGGGCCUUAAAUAUUGCUGGCCAAAACAAGUAGAAUGAAAUUUAUUCCACAGCUGAGGUUCAUGAUUCUAUUUUGGCGACUCAAGAAAACUUGUUUUAUACUGCCUUGUUCAUGCUUCUUACCUUUCUAAUUGCAGUUAUGGACAGCUCUGAAUAUGGUGGCAGAAGUUGUUGGGGCAGUCAUAGGUUAGCUAUUUGUAUGGACAAUGAUGGAGAAGGGGAAGCUGUAUGUGCUAACUCUGAUGGAAAAGAAGUAGACAAACAUGGGGAGUCAUCUGAUGUUCUUAAAUGUGGGGAGGUGUCUAAAGUAUUAUUGGGGCAGGUUGUACAUAGUGAGGAGGAGGCUUAUAGCUUGUGUUGUGACUAUGGGCAUCGCAUGGGUUUUAGUGUGCGAAGAGGAAAGCAGUAUUACUGGUUGGGGACCAAAAAUAUUCGCUCGAAGGACUAUUAUUGCUCAAAAGAAGGGUUUAAGAACGAUGAGUAUCCUAACGAGUCAAGUUAUAGCAAGCUAGAUACAAGAACUGGUUGCAAAGCAAUGAUCCGCUUUAUGGUUGAUGAGGAUGGGCAAUGGAAGGUGACGAAGUUGGUCGAUGAGCAUAAUCAUGACUUGGCCAAGCCUGAAGAAAGGCAUCUGUUGAGAUCCAUGCGGUCACCUACAGGUGCAAAAGCUAGUGUACUAGAUUCAAUGAUGAAUGCUGGAAUUCGAACAAUCAAUACCUAUUCCUAUAUGGUUGAAGAAAGUGAUGGUGCUGAAAAUUUAGCAGGAGAUCUUCAAAGCUUGGUAAGCCAUUUCAAGCGUAGAGCUAAUCAGGAAGGCAUGUUUUAUUGGGAUAUGCAACUUGAUCAAGAGGGUCGGGCUUGCAAUUUUUUUUGGAGGGAUGGUAGAUCAAGAGUUGAUUAUGACUGUUUUGGUGAUGUUGUUGUGUUUAACACUACUUAUCGCACAAAUAGAUAUAAUCGUAUCUGUGUGCCAUUUGUUGGAGUUAAUCAUCAUUGGCAGAAUGUGAUAUUCGGAUGUGCAUUCUUAUUAGAUGAGACGACUGCAUCCUUUAUAUGGCUUUUUAAGUCUUUCUUGAAAUCAAUGGGUGAUCGACCUCCCAAAACAAUUUUUACUGAUCAAAAUCAAGCUAUGACAAAUGCAAUUACAGAGGUAUUUCCCAAUACACGACACCGCCUCUGCUUGUGGCACAUUUACAAGAAUGCUCCCUCUCAUUUGGGUAAUCUCAAUUUUGAUCAGAAUUUUCAUAAAUUGUUUAACAAAUGUUUACAAGGGUGUGAUUCUGAAGAAGAGUUUGAAGAAACAUGGGGCAAGAUGAUUUCUAAGUACAAUGUUCAAGACCAUGAAUGGCUUAAUAAUCUGUACAAGAUCCGUGAGAAGUGGUGUACAGCUCUUAACAAAGACACUUUCGAUGGUGGGAUUAAAUCAUCUCAAAGGAGUGAGUCGACAAACAAUGUUUUGAAUGGAAUAGCCGACAAGUCAACUUCUCUUACAAAGUUUGUAGUUGCAUUUGAGAAAUUGGUUAAUGGUUGGAGAAGAAACGAAUCUGAGGAGGACUUCCGUUGUAAUCAAAGUGCUCCUACCCGUAUUAUUAAGCACAGUGAAAUUUUGAAGCAUGCUUCCAAAACGUUUACGCACAAGAUUUACAAAUUAUUUGAGAAAGAGUAUCUUGAUGGUUGUGGUGCGACAUCAUCAUCCCAAGAAAUUUCACUUGGUGGUACUUUAUACAAAUUUGAGUUGAUGAUGCAAGGAAGGGGUUCAAAAGUUUGGACAGUCAUGUUUGACACAUCUACAUCGGAGGUCAGUUGCAGUUGUAGAAAAUUUGAGACAAUGGGUCUACUUUGCUCACAUGCACUAAAAGCAUUUAGCGUUAAGAAUGUGCAAAGAAUCCCCGAAAAGUAUAUUUUGAAACGGUGGACAAAAGAUGCAAGAAAAAGAGUGUAUAGUUUCAAUGAAGAGGGGUCAUCAAAAAAGAAGUGCACUGAGGUUGAGUUAAUAUAUCAUAAUCAAGCAAUGCGAUAUGCUUAUAACCUUGUCAUGAAAAGCCAAGGACAUGAGGGAGCUAGGAAAAUUCUGUGGGAUACUUUUGAUCUUGCAGAUGCAGAACUUGAUAAAUUCUUUGCUAAGUUAAGCUUGGAUGGCCAUUCAGCAGUCAAAGAUGAUCAAGCAAAUGAUUAUGAUAAGGAGGCUGAAAUGGUUGAUGAUGAUGAUGAUGAUGAUGAAUACCCUGUGUUAGACCCUCCUUAUUUGAGACCUGAAGGAGAAUCCACAGAGAAGCUUAAAGAGCAUUUUGAAAAGCAGAAGAAAUGUUCAUCAAGAAGAGGGAAGAGUAAGUAUCAUUUUUGGUGUAUCAUUUUUUUUCAUGUAGUAAAAGCUAAUAAUUAUGAUUAAUCUGAGAUGUUGACAAAAUUAUAUUUUUUAUGUAGGAAAAGUUAAAGAAGCAGCUGGAUCCUCCUCACAUUUGGAAAAUACUACCAAAGAUGGUAGCCACCGUCUUCGCUGCUUAUUCCCUGCCCCGCCAAGCCAUUUUCCAUUUGCGAACCCAUUUGCACCUUCAAACUUUUAUCAAGUAAGCUUCUUAGUAAUGAGGAAUUCCAGUUUUUAAAUUUUUUUUUUCUGAUGCCUGAAAAUGAAUUUUGCUUGUUUUCUACAAAAAUUGGUCAUAUGUAUAGGUGCAGCCUUCAAGUUUAGGGUCCACAAGUACUUUUUACAUGCAUAGUUAUACAUUACCAAUGCCCUCACAGGUAAUAAUUUUACUUAGAAUGCCAUUGAAAUAAAUAUGAAAGCUACGCAUGCAUCCGAAACUGAUUAUUUGUGCACUUUAUCAGAGUUCUAAAAUUACUUGGGGCAUGGAUGGGUCAAAUAUUCCAUUUACAAGUAUGGUACAUGGUGUUAAUUUUGCAAAUAAUCUGAACCAGGUAGGAGGCCCUGUCAUUAUGCCUUUUUCCCCUUGAUUUUGUCAAAAAGAAUACUUGUCACUUUAAACAAAUUAAUUCGUAGGAGUCGUCAAGCCAUGCACGGAGGCAUAGGUCUGCAAUAAGCCAGCCACCUGCUGUAAAGUCUGCUGCAUCACGGGAGGAGUUGGGUUCUGAACACCAGAGAAGGACAUCAUCUGGAGAGGCAUAAAAACUGAAUACAUGUAGUUGAUUUUUAGUAGUUUCUAAUCAUGUGGAAUUAUGAGUAGGUGCUUAUCAUGUGUAGUUUUGACAUGUAAUUUUUACUACCUCUAUGUAGCACACUCCAGCAAGAAUGGUGUUGUCUGGAUAGUACUUUUCCUCCUGCAUAUUUGGUGAUAGAGAAGUCCGCAUUUGUUCCGUUCACCUUCUCCAGUUUUCUUUGAUUUAUUUCUGAUAGCCGAAUAACUGUAUUUUAUGCUUCAGGUUUGGAGAAAUUCUAAGGAUUUCUCAAGGUACCUUGGCAUUUCUUACAUAACAUGGAUUCUGUAUUUUUGUACCGCUUCUUAUUUUGGUGGCUUGUACCACUUCUUACAUAACAUGGAUUCCUUCGCAGUUACAGGCCUCGAAAGAUCCAAUUUAAUACCAAUUCUUGUAAAUAUCGGCAGGGAAGAAGGAGAGACCAUGGUUUUUUGGUGUCUUUUUCUUGGCAGAGCUGGCUGGAGAUGACUCAAGGACUGUGGGGGUCAUUUCUCUGUUUAUAUAAGUGCUGGGUAGAGAGAAUAGAAAUGAGAAUAACGCUAGUUUAUUGAAGAUAGCACUGGGACUGACUUAGAGUGUGAUUCGGACACUAUAUUCCUGUUACUGCGGUACAUAGCCCUUUCCUCUUCUUCUUUCAACUGCUUCAAAUUUGUUUCUAUGAUUGGUUAGGUACAGUGCAUCAAUACAAACAGAGAAGGAAUUUCCCUGAAAGCCAGCAUUGCCCACGGUCAAGUUUCAGGUAUUUUUUUGCAAACCUUGGAGCUUUAAGUUGAACCUAGAAAGGCAGGUUAGAGAGCGAGAAGGAACCUAAAAUAUUGGGGUACGGAUUUGGGCUGGUCACCACCUACAUGAUUUCAUGAGGUCUAGGAUUCUCAGCUUGAUCUGGAUGCCCUAACAUAACUGGUACAUGUACCUCCUGCAUUGUGUGCGAAAAAUCUGAGUCAAAAUAAGAACAUAUUCAUGUAUAUUAGCAUGUAUGAUGUUGCUGAUGGCUACAUUAUUGUAAUCACCGAGUUUAAGGAGGCUUUGGAAGAUCACUGCAACUUGGUAGGACUGAAGAUUUAAUUGUGAACUAAAACUAUAUUGCUAGAUUCAAUCACCAUGAUGCAUAGAACAAAAGAGUUGAGGUUAAGAUAUGUCUGAAUCCAGUAUAUGUAGAUUUUUCUCUAUAAGAUAUGAUUGUAAGCUAGUCUUAAAAUUUAAUAAUGUUCAUCUUUCGCAAUGGUCCAACCUUAAUAUGCAAUAUCUUAUGAUUUGAGUCCUACAAUUCAGAUUUUAUAAAAUCUGAGUUGUUGCUAGAUCACGCAAAUUCUAACGUAGAUUUUUUUUGUUGCCUCUGUCAAUAAAUCUUAUCUUCUCUAAAUUCUAAAAAUUUAUGAUUAUUUAUGGAGGGGGUGGAAGCCUAGUUCUGGAAAAAACAAAGCGAAGCCUAGUUGAAAAGAGGGUGGGAUCAGAUUCAAGUCUUUUAAAUCAAGACAGGUGACUUUGCCAACUUAGCAGUUGGCAUUUCUACCUAACCCUUGAAGACAUUAAAAAAAAAAAUAAUCAUUUGAUGAAUAUGGAAAUCAAGUAACCCUCAAGAUAUUUUAUUUCCAUUUAUCUUUCAUUUAUUAUAAGAAUAGCUUUCCUUCUUUUACUUUUAAUUUUCAUGUUUGUGUUUUGUUGUUUUUUUUUUUUUGACUUAUUAGAAAAGAAUGCUGACCCUUAGCAAAUAGAAGACUAACCCUUAGCAACAAUAGUUGCUUUCUUCGUGUUUCACUGCUGAUGCAAACUGAGUGAUGUUUUUCUUGAAAAGUUUUUUCUAUCGAUGUCAUUAUAGGCAUGCUUGGAUAUAGAAAUCGAAGAAAGAAAUUCAAGAAGAUAGAAAGGAAAAACCAAAGAGAAGGUUAUCCUCUUCGGUGUCCGUUAUGCUAGAGGGAUGUUUCCUGCGGUAUAUGAUAUUCCAACUCGAUGUGUAACGGCAGGCAUGCGGUUACAUAUCAAGUUUCUUUUGUGGUGUGCUGUGUAUAUAUCCUGCAAGAGAUAUCACUUAGGUAAGAUUGUCUAAGUGCCUAAGCAUGCUCUUAUCUUUCAUUUUGGAACUAAAACACUUGCUAGAAUCAAAAAGAUCAAAGACUUAGUUUGGAUAUUACUAAAGAACUGGACUGAAUUAUGUAAGAAUUGGGUCCCUUCGUCCAUCUAGCUUAUAUUUUCUUAAGAGCCUAUCCAAACUCAACUCAGAUCUUACCUAUUUGGCUAUAGAGGGAAAAAAAAAUGGAAGUCGAUUUGAGCUGAAUGGUGUUUGGUUGAUACAGAACUAUGCUCAAAUGGAUGGCCCAAUCUAUAAAUCCGAUAGAAUUUUCAGCCUAGAAAUAUCAGCUCAAAUUGUAAAAGGUAAGGAAUAUCUUUUCUUCCGAGAACCAAAAAAUAGAGAAUUUUCUGUGAUCUCAAUGUCUAUCUGCCAUGAUAAUCUUUCCUAAAAACUCCUCCUGUUUUUUUCUCAUGAAAUUAUUAAAAAAAAACAAGCAAGAAAGAAGAAAUAUGAGGAAAAGAAAUCCUUGUUGAAAAUUUUGCUAAAAUUCUAUAUUAAGAAUAAUCUAUAUAUUUUAGAAAAUGAAUCAGCUGUCCCACUAAGGUAAUGGCUUCUUUCACAUGAUCAAGCAAUGAGAGGAAAUGAUUACAUUACAACAAAACUGGAGGUUUAAAUAACAAGAAAGUGACUGCACCUGUUCAAUUUGGAAACAUGGAUGGAAAAAAAUUUCAUUUGGAUUAAAGAACAAUUGUACAUUGAAACAGUAUAAGGGUACCAACUGAUACGUACCACCAAGAUGUAUGCUGCUUUAUUUUUUGGGAAAAAAAAGAAGAAAGAAGACAAAAAAAUCACGGCAGUAAAUGGUGCAACCAAUCCAACCGCUUCAUCAAUCUGCCAAAUCAUGGUCCCGAUUCCAUUUUGGGUUGGGCGCGCUUACAGAGUGGGUGUAUAGCUUUUUGGAGCUAAAUGACUGAGAGAUCAAGCUCCGAGCCCUAGCCCUCUUGAUCUCAUGCGCGCAGUAGAACUGCCCGUCGUCGUCUUGCCCCUCCUCUGACCACCCCACCUCGACACCGGCGACCUAGACCUAGAGGUCGAUGUCGGUGAGGGCGAGGUUGCAGAGAACAGUGCCAACGAGGCAGGAGCGGCUCAAUACAUUUGGGGGCCUAAGACGAAUUCAUUAAGAAGGAUCUUUUUUUUCUUUCCUUUUUGUCUUUAAAGUCUUUUCUAUAGUGGACCGGCCUAAGAUGAACUCGCUAAAAGUGUCUUGUUUUUUUUUUCUGUUUUGUCUUUGAGGCUUUCUUUGCGGUGGGCCUUCUUUGGGCCGGAGCCUAAGGGGACCGUAUAGGAGACCUUUCCUCUUCUUUGUAUACUUUACUUUCUCAUUUGGCUGGAUGUACUUAAGUUAGAGCUAUAUAAAAUGCCGCAUUUACCAUAUUUUAAAAAAAAAAAAUAGCAAGGAUGCGGAACCCGAGGAAGAAGGUAAGGUACUGUUCGACGUACCUCUUCUUGGGGUUGUGGUGCAAGAUUUUUUAAUAAAAGAAUGCGGGUUGCCAUUGAUGGCAUAUUUCGUAUUAUUUACAAAAAACAGGUUGAAAGUGAUUAAAAUCUGUUAGCCGCUAGGGUUUCUACUGGUGUGACUUUUUGGAGAGAAGCGGCCUCUGGCUAUCCUCGGACUAAAUGAUAUGGGCUUAUUGGAGGAUUAAAAAGUACAUAUUUAUAUUCAUUAUCUUUAAAUCAAUAAAUAAUAUAUUUGUGGUGUACCGUGUACGUUUUAAUUGCCAGUAUGAUGAUCCAAUAUAUUUUUUUUUUGAUGUAAAGGGAGGGUAUGAAAACCCACCUAGGUUUUAUUUAUAGAGAAAUUAUUUACAAUAUCAAAUGUGAAAGCAAAGUUGAUUGUUCUACUCGAGGUGAGGAAGUGAGGUAACCACAUGACAGUAUUUUCCCCUCGCAAGUGAAGUUGGCCUGGAGACCGAAAUGUGAACCAAAAAUGUGAAAUGAGGUUCCUUUGUAUGAUGAUCCAAUAUUCUUGCAUGUAGAACUUGCUCUCGGCUGUUGGUGCCCUUCUUUGCCUUAGAGACUGGGCCGCUCCUUUUAUUCUAAGGCGCUCAUCCAAAAAAAUUAGUUAAAAAUAUUUUUUAACUUAUAUAAAUACUCAAAAUCUUUAUAUAUUUGCUCGAGUCUUCACAUAUUCCUCUUGUUUAACCUAUGAUGUCCUCGUCAGCCUAGGAAUCGAAAUCCAUUCAAAUCUAAUAAAAAAUACCACGAUCGGCCUAUGAUCAACCUCAACGAGCCAUGUUGUAGUGUCUUCAAGUCCGCAUAGAUUAUAGGUCAAAUCAACUCUAAUUGUCACGAUCCAAAAUAUGGAAUAUAACACGACCAUGCUACCGAGGGUACAACUCACGAUCAUAUGAAACCAACAAUCGUAAUUAGCCCAAAAGUCCAUCAUGGCUAAAAUAUAAUAAGAGGAUCCAAUUCUAUUUUCAAUUCAGUAAUAAACUUAGUACUACUGGUUCAAAAUGUUUAAAUCCAAAUAUAAAUACCAAAAGCUAAUAAUCUCAAAAUUCAGAAAGUCAUCAAUUACAAAUUCAAAGUUAAUUAAAGAACUAAAAUUCUGUUACAAAUUGCUAAGCUUGCUAGUGCGAAUUUCAAACACAGACCAUCCUUCAUUUCUAGUGAUCCUAUUCGUCUGGAAAGAGAAAAAAAGUAAAUAGGUAUGUACAUAGCUCAAUAAGAAAAGCUUACACUACCAAUCGAAUAAAACAUAAGUUUUCAUGGGNNNNNNNNNNNNNNNNNNNNNNNNNNNNNNNNNNNNNNNNNNNNNNNNNNNNNNNNNNNNNNNNNNNNNNNNNNNNNNNNNNNNNNNNNNNNNNNNNNNNNNNNNNNNNNNNNNNNNNNNNNNNNNNNNNNNNNNNNNNNNNNNNNNNNNNNNNNNNNNNNNNNNNNNNNNNNNNNNNNNNNNNNNNNNNNNNNNNNNNNNNNNNNNNNNNNNNNNNNNNNNNNNNNNNNNNNNNNNNNNNNNNNNNNNNNNNNNNNNNNNNNNNNNNNNNNNNNNNNNNNNNNNNNNNNNNNNNNNNNNNNNNNNNNNNNNNNNNNNNNNNNNNNNNNNNNNNNNNNNNNNNNNNNNNNNNNNNNNNNNNNNNNNNNNNNNNNNNNNNNNNNNNNNNNNNNNNNNNNNNNNNNNNNNNNNNNNNNNNNNNNNNNNNNNNNNNNNNNNNNNNNNNNNNNNNNNNNNNNNNNNNNNNNNNNNNNNNNNNNNNNNNNNNNNNNNNNNNNNNNNNNNNNNNNNNNNNNNNNNNNNNNNNNNNNNNNNNNNNNNNNNNNNNNNNNNNNNNNNNNNNNNNNNNNNNNNNNNNNNNNNNNNNNNNNNNNNNNNNNNNNNNNNNNNNNNNNNNNNNNNNNNNNNNNNNNNNNNNNNNNNNNNNNNNNNNNNNNNNNNNNNNNNNNNNNNNNNNNNNNNNNNNNNNNNNNNNNNNNNNNNNNNNNNNNNNNNNNNNNNNNNNNNNNNNNNNNNNNNNNNNNNNNNNNNNNNNNNNNNNNNNNNNNNNNNNNNNNNNNNNNNNNNNNNNNNNNNNNNNNNNNNNNNNNNNNNNNNNNNNNNNNNNNNNNNNNNNNNNNNNNNNNNNNNNNNNNNNNNNNNNNNNNNNNNNNNNNNNNNNNNNNNNNNNNNNNNNNNNNNNNNNNNNNNNNNNNNNNNNNNNNNNNNNNNNNNNNNNNNNNNNNNNNNNNNNNNNNNNNNNNNNNNNNNNNNNNNNNNNNNNNNNNNNNNNNNNNNNNNNNNNNNNNNNNNNNNNNNNNNNNNNNNNNNNNNNNNNNNNNNNNNNNNNNNNNNNNNNNNNNNNNNNNNNNNNNNNNNNNNNNNNNNNNNNNNNNNNNNNNNNNNNNNNNNAAUAUAUAUAGUAGGGGGAAAAAAAAGCUGCGAUCUUAUUCUCACACUACACCAAACCACAAGGUGUAGAAGAGGAUGGACAAAGAACUUUGUAAUCAAUGCUUUUCUCCUUGUAAAACAAGGAACUGGAACUUACACACACGGUCAUUCCUUUUCAGCUUUUUUUUCAAUUGGAUAAAACCAAAGUUUGUAUCGGGCCGAGAAGUUUAUUCACUGGCGGAGGAGGAGAGUGCUCAGCAUUGCAUGCUCCACGUACAUCCAUCCUUUCAGGCUUUUUCUCUGACAGCGCGCACAGAGAGAGAGAGAGAGGUCAUUCACGCGAGAAGGUGGCAGUAAGUACCCAAGUAACCGACCAGCAAACCCAGCAGCCUCUCGGCAAGAUAACCGGGUCAAAGAAACAACAAUGGCGUUGUGGCCAUAACAGUGAAUACGGCUUGCCUGCGUUCUGUCCCUCCCCAAAACUUUGAGGUAUGCCGGUACAAAUGCCUUUUCUUCCAACUUCCAUCCUCUUUCCAUUCUUUGUAAACGCAUGUAAUAUAUUAGGCGAGUCUUCUCUCUCAUUCACUCAUCACAAUGCCGCCAGCUUUUCGUUCUUUAUACAAUACACCCACCAAGGAAGUGAAGAAAGAGAGAGAGAGGGAUGGGGAAGGGAGACAAAAUGGACCAAAAGGCAGAGUUAAUGGGAGGGUGGAGCCCUUUGGCCUUUGAGUGGUCACUGUUGGUCUGUUCCCUUGCUCAUCAGAAAAGAUAGCAGGAGGAGAGCAGGAGGGGGCCGGUGUCAGGUGCUGGGCUAGGAACUGCUGUUCUCCUCGCCGGUUGGCCGUGCCUCGACCUACUCUAGUAUUUCUAAGUACUUACUUUUUAAUUCUUGUUAACUUUGCAUUACGUUUGGUACUACGUGGGACAUGAUCAGUGGACAGGUAAUGAUCCGAUGCAAAACAUGAGCUUUUAAGACUUGCUUUAAAAUAAUAUAUAGUGUGCAGGAGAGAGAAUCUUUGUGGCUUCUGACAGUUGAUAUGAUGUGGAGUCCAGAGCUUUGCAUUGCAUUGAAUGGAGAGUUGUUUGGGUUGAGAUAAAAAGACUUCUGCUGCGAAGAGAAGGCAAAACGAGAGGAGAUAAAAAAGGGAAGGGAGAUAGAAAGAGGAAAGAGAGCUGAGCUGGUAAAAAGGAGGUGUGAUGAUUUGGGAGGGGGUUGGAACUUCAAGGUUCAAAGUAUAAAACGAGAAAGAGGAGCUCUGGUGGCAAUAAAGGAAGGAGGGAGGGAAGGAAGGAAAAGGGCUUUAAAGGAGGAGGAGCAUUGGGAGACAAAACGGCAACUCUGGAAUCAAAUGAAAUGUCCUUGUCAUGGAUAUUAAACGUAGAGCAUGAUGAUUCCCGGCACAGGCACCCAGAAAAAUUGAAUAAUAUUCUUGUCCUGCAUUCCAAUGGACUCGUGGUUAUGACGUGACGCAUGUGGUUUGGCUUUAUGCGGUGUUCCAAUAUUAUUAUUAUUUUUUUUGAUAAAAGGUAGUUGUUCCGACAAAUUUGCUGACUCUAACAAUAUUGUACCAAAAUAUUGUUUUCUAUCAUUUCCAAUAAAUUUUCCUCAAAAAUAUUGAAUUUAACUUAAAUAAAACUGAUAAUUUUGUCCCAUUUUAUUACAUUGGCUGAUUAAGAUCUCGUAAUGUAGCUUCAUUCUUCAAGGUUUUCUCACCUUUUAUUGGACAAAGUGAAUGAGUGUAAUUGCACAAAGUGAGAGCCAAUGGGCUCCAACAAGAGCACUGCUUCCAUGCGAUUGCAAGCAUGGAAGAAAAAGAAGAUUGCUUAUGCUUCUAUUGGAGACAAUGAGCUGCAUUAUUCUUUUAGACUUAAUUUAACGUAACACAGGAAAUAGACAAAAUAUAUGACAAGUUUCGGUGAAGAAAAACCUCAACCACACAAGCACUUGACUGUAAUCAGCACUUAAUUUCGUCAAGGCUUGCACCCCCUUACAAUCUUCCAUGGAUUUAAAUUUGGAUGAUAGAAUUCUACUGUUUCAAAGUAAAGCUGCAAAGAAAAGAGAACGCUAGAAUAUUUUAAAGUUCAUCUGGAAGGACUCUAACAGAGUGAACGCAAUAAUUUACACAAUGAUGCCAAAGGUUCAAUGUGCACCAAUGGAACAGUUUCCACUGCUUCAGACGUGAUGGAUCCUCUCAAGGUUGCAAUUCGCUUUUGUCGGGUUCACCACAUGGAUCUGUGGCUUGGUUGAGAUUGAAACGAAAAAGGCUGGAUGACAACAUUUUUUUAUUACUGUAAUGCUUCUAUUGGCGAUGAUCAAAUUAAUAGUUAUUGGAAGGACUCAUUUAAGCUUUCAGCAAUUGCAUUGCAGGCACAAAAUGUAUACUUUGAUUUAGCGAUUUCGAUGAGGCAGAAGGUAUCAUAAUGAAUAAUAAUAAUGAACAAAAUUCUAGACAAAGAGGACUAUAAGCUCAACAGCAAAUCAUAUAUUGUUGUUGUCAUGAAAUAACUGCAGAAACUGAAGUUACUUGGUGUGGUUGAAUAAUUAAUUAUUUCAUACAGUAGUUUAUUUCCAUUAUAUCCAUUUUAGAGAUGAGUGUGGUUCUUCCACUAAUUCUGUUGCUGUUUAGUGAAGAGAUAAUGUCGAUCAUGACAUAAUACGAACAAGAAGAAAAGGAUCGAUCAACCAUAAAUCAUAAUCUCAAUAAUCAUGCUUGAGAGGCUGUAUUUCAGUGUAAGGCUUGUCUAUUGUAAUGGUUUUAAGUGACCCAACAUAUUGGCAAUCAUCUUUCGAUCGUGAAAUGAUCAUAUCAUCAAGCUAGCUUACCCAUGGAAGAAUGUCUGAGGUUCAGAACUUUUUGGGCAGGCAGAAGAAUAGUCGUACUAUAAUGAACUACAUUGAGAAUGAUAGUUCCAAAUGGAUGAUGAUUCCACUGCAUUACAAAAAACAUCUGCAGUUGCAUCAGCCAGUAUAAUGGUGUCCUACAAUUCAUAACUGGUUGCAUGCUUGAACAUUUCACAAACAUAUACAUACAAAUACAAGAUUCCUAUUUAGACCGAGAUGCACAAGUUAACAGGGGGGUAAUUACCUGGUCAGCAUAUAAGAAUAUAGAUGCUCCAGGAAUCAAAAAAACUUCAGUAAGUUCAGCAUGUCAUCUUCUUCUUUUGCGCAUCAAACCGAUGCGAUAGAAAAUUCUGAUUAUGCUGCACUGAUAGAUCAAACAAGAUAUCUUUAAAAAAGCUUGAGAAGCUCUCGAAAUGAACUCUUCUUACCCAAUAUCAGCAGUAGAACAUAAGCUUCUUGACAUUAUCUCGAAGCUUUGGCAGUGGUGCAGUCUGCAGCGGUGCGGCUCUAGACAGUGUAGUUCGGGUACAUGGCAUGGAGUCUGACCUAUCGAGAUACAAUCUGCCUCUAUAUGCUGCAAGGUGAGCAUAGUAUGCAGGAGGCACAAGAGAAACUGGCUUGGUGCAUCUCACAAAUGUGUAGCAGAGACUGUGAAUCAACUUCUGCACUUCGUCGGAUUUGAAAUUGUUCUCAUCCCACAGGAUAUGAUAAUGAGUUGGCCUGCUCGUUCCUUUCAUCCCCCAAUGGCUGCACAGAUAAAAAUCAAAUUCCCUUGGAUGGGUUAUCACGGUAUCAACGACAGUUCCAGGUGGUAUGUUUUCAUCAACAAACUGGCAAGAGGAGGCAUUCUUCUCAUUUAUGAAGAGCCUUGUAUGGUGCCUCUUCUGGACUACUGCGAAGGUGAUGGUGGGCUUGUAAUUGGGGAACUUGGAACAUGCUGCUCUUAUGGCCUGCAACUCUUCCUUCAGCACCUUGUAAAACUGAGUCUCGCUCACGCCAUCUCUGAAGAAAAUAACUCUGCAAGGGAGUUUGCCAACCGUAAGGAAGAACUCCUCAAGUAGCUCGCCUACCAUCUCUUCCAGGUCUUUGAUGAUCUCUUGUCGGUGCGUCUGAGACCUCAUCCUAGAAAUGUACUUGUUUGCUGCAGGCCAAUUCAUGCUGCCAACAACGGCAGCAACAGAUGGGCUGAAGUCAUCGAGCGGGUGCGGGUGCGUGACAUCGGCACCCAUAAAGAUCACCGGCUCAUCGUCUCUGAAUAUCCUGGGAAUUUGGCAGGGUAUAGUGUUAUACAGUACCACGUUGCAGCCCCCAAGCUUUGCAUUGAUUUUAAGAGAUAAAUUGGCCAGGAAUUGUGAGCUGAGCUUGCUGAGAUUGGAAUAUAAACAGCACUGACUCAUCACCCCUAUACCGGUCUCGGCAAUUCUCUUCAAAUCGGCAUAGCCCCUGUGCUUUUUCUCCAUUACGCACAUGAGCAGUUGGAGGUUCCCUGAUGCAGCUUCAUGGAUUCUCUUGAGCUUGGCUUCCAAAGUUGACACAUUAUUCAGCACAUACAUGUGCUCAUAUAGUGGGCUUAGGAUUGUGUUCCUGUUCAAAAAAAUGCCAAGCUGCUGGCACCUAUUAGAGAGCUGGUUUAUGAACCUAGGAAUGAAGGACCGCUGCUCCGGGGUGCCACCGAAGCUUAUCAGAGCCCACCUUCUAAUUUGGGAACCUUCAGCAACAUGGCUGUUCAUCAAGUUCCACUGCCGAUCAUGUCUGUUUGGAGUUAUAUCUCUAACAUGCCCACCAUCACCAAGUUUUAGUUUGGGAGGCUGAAGGACUCUUCCAAAAAGCUGGGUCAUCUCUUUUGAAACUUUGAUCUUGAACUCAUCAGCAUAGCAUCCACUGCAAUGAAACAGUGCAAGUUACAAGUGUUACGAGACGAAGAAAGUAGUAUGCAUGAAAGAAGAAACGCUAAAUUAAUAUGAUUUGGAGUGGAAUUAUUCUAAAAUAAUUUGAAGCUUCUUUACAGUAUAAUUCAGUUACUUGUAUGUAGCAGCUACCUUGUCGGACCAACCGCACCUCCCAUGACACCAUUGAUGAUGUCCUUCCGCUCUCCAGGCCUCUGGCAGCCCAUCUUAAGUAUUCUUGCAGUCUGCUCAUCGGAAAGCUUUCCAAGAAAUUUCUGGCCUUCACAGACAAUGCAGAGCUCCAUUGGCAGAUAACAUGGCUUGCUUCUACUGAUCUGCAAGCACGGAAGGUUUCUGAAUUGAAUGUCAUGGUUGUAGUGAUCCUUGAAAUAAUCCACCAACAUCAGAUCCUUCCCAUCUCUGUCUCUGAACUUGAGGUUCUCCGUUGCUUCAUCGGUCAGGCUAUAAACCCGGUACCUCUGAUCUGUUUCUCUAUGGCAGACAAAGAUCCUAAUGUUCUUCAAGGCCUUCUCAACUUCUUUCUUCUCUUCUCCCACCAAUCCCCUGGUUUUCCUCUGCGAAAGAUCUCGUAAGAAUUCACAGCGUUUCUGUAGGUAAGGAAUGAUGCCUAUGCUUUCAUGAAAAGCUGUCACUGAGAAAUCAACAUUGAGAGAUAGGCCUUGUUGGGUUGGUCUAAGGCUCUGGAAGAACCCUCUCAAUCCCACAGCUCCUCCACCAAUGUCUUUGACUCCUCCCAUGGACUUGGUAUACAAAGACCGGCCCAUAGGAAUGCAGUUCUCCGUUGGGCUCUCGCGCAAGGCAACAUCCAAUGCAUGAAGAUAAUCCUGAGGAAGAGGGACACCAUCACCCUCUUCUUUUAAAUAUCUGUUCAAAUCCUGGCCACUUAAUUUGGAAGCUAGCCUAAUGUUUACCCUGAAGAGCUUAGACUUCUGUUUCUCCACCAAAUUACCACCAUUUUCCGAAUGCAAGGAUUUCGACGAGGGAAUUGGCAGAGUUAUGAAGAACUCAAGCCUAUCACCUCGGAACUCAAUGGGGCUGUAUAAAUUGUUCCGACCAUCGAAGACCGGCAGCGCACCAGAAAGCAUAUCGGAGUGAUCCUGCACCAGCUUCCUCUUGAUCAUCCGGGCAAUUUCCUUGGAUGGACAUGGAGAUAUAUCAACAUUGUAAUGGAAAAUUUUUUGUGAGGGAUCAAAUUGGACAGGAAAAUGGUUGGCAAUAAGGGGAAUAAAGGAGCCCUCGUCGCCGCCAGAAUCCGGCCUUCGGGCCGCCACCGAAGCUUGAGGACUGCCCACAUGUUCUGUGUGGCAACUUAAAGGUUUUCCAUCCGCUGCGGCGCCUUUCUUUCCUGAUAAGGGAUUAGUUUUCUGUUGGAUUACCUCCAUAGCUGCUUAAAAGUUGAACAUUUUGACAGUGUAAGUGAUUAGCAGAAGUUGUAGGAAAAACCUAAGCUACCACCAAGCAAGGAGCCAUUCCAAGGUUGCAAAGAAAAGUACCAUAAAUACUUUGUAGGAUCCUUCCCAUUCACCACCACAAUAAAAAUGUGCAAGGAGGCUCAGUUCAUCUAGAGCAGAGCUAGAAUAUCUUAUAUCACUUAUAUUAGGAUUUAAAGGACCCAAAACAUAAAAAGAACCAACAUCUACAAAUGCAUCUGGGAUAUCCUCAAAAGUAUCAAGAUUUAAGCUUUUUGUUUGCCUUUCAUCCUUCAUCGAUUGCUACCUAAUAAACAACUCAAUAGACAGCCUACAAGCUACAAAGAAUGGAACAAUGCAACACCAAAGCAAUGGAAACAAAAAGGUCUCACCUUUGAUACGAACGUCAAAAAAAAAGAAAAUAAAUGUGUAGAAUGAGUAAAGACCAUUGCAUACCCUGAGGAAUAGGCAGGACUGCGACCUGGGUUUCCAACGAGGCGGCAUGAAGUGGCUUCUUUUUCCACAGAGACUUCUGGCCGUGAGGUUUUGAUUUAGGCGUGUUGCUCUGGAGGAGAGGUGGUGUUGGAGGGAGCUGAAGUAGUAUUGGGGGAGGUAGAGGGAGAGGGAGCGGAAGAAGAGCUGGGUAGGCCUGGUAUCUCCUCUGAUAAUAGUACACAUCAUGGAGUGGGUGCUGACUAGAGUUGGAUAACUCCCUCAGGGUGGUGGGAUGAGACCUCCUCUCCAUUGGUGUCCACUUCCUGCUGGGAUUCUUCCUUCCAUCCUUAGCCUCCUCUUCCAUGGAUUCCUCUCUCUCUCUCUCUCUCUCUCUCUCUCUCUGAGCCUGCUCCUGUGCUAGAAUAUCUAUGAGUUCAUGUCUCUCCCCAGUUUACUUAUGAAGGAGAGCAUGAGGGAAAAAGGUAGAGGGGAUGGGACNNNNNNNNNNNNNNNNNNNNNNNNNNNNNNNNNNNNNNNNNNNNNNNNNNNNNNNNNNNNNNNNNNNNNNNNNNNNNNNNNNNNNNNNNNNNNNNNNNNNNNNNNNNNNNNNNGAGGGAGAGAGAGAGAGAGAGAGAGAGAGAGGAUCCUUGGGUCCAAAAGCUUUGUCUUUCUGCUGUGCUGCUGUCCUGUGUUCUGAAGUUCUAAAUUCUUAAAGUGGGGAUGGUUUAUGACAGCAGUAAAUACCAGGGCAAGAGAGGAGGCUGUGUUGGGAUUUCCAUUAAAGGUUUCCAAGCACUGCAUUGAUCAAAGGGCAGCCCUUUAUUCUAUUUGAAGGGCAUGCAUUUAACACACACAAAUAGCAGUGGCCCCUCUCAUGAUAAAAAGGUAUCUUGGCACAAUCUGGAUGUUUGAAGUCAAAGAAGAGAGAGGAACAGGAGGCUGUGGGGUUGAGGGCGCAUAGUCAGAUGACACCAUGAAGUUUCCUUUUCUCCUAUUCUUCUCCAACCUGCUUCCAAAAGUUAGUUGUGCACCAACCUUCUUCAGGCAUUCUUCACUGAGCUAAAAGUAAAUGCAGCCAUAUGUUAGAAAUGGUUUAAUCUGAAAGCUUGUCUGUGAGAUGUGGAACAUAAUCAUAGCUAUGAAUCCUAACCAGAGUUUGGUAUAUCUACACUUUGGUCUUUGCUUUUUGGUGACCAAAGUUAUUUGCCAUCCAAUGAGUGUUAUACUAUCCUUCUACACCACUUUAGUUUGUUAUUGUUAGCCCUUUUCUCUUUCCUCGGCCUUUGAUCACAAAGUCACUCUAAAACCAUGGGCCUAGGUAUAGACUUACCUCCCCUCAAGAAUAAAUUAUACCCCGCACUCCAUGCGCCACCAAUCACAGCCGUUUAUUUUCGUGGGCUCCAUUCAUCAAAUGCUUAUUUUGGUGCGCUGCUACAGAAAUAAGUGGCUAUGAUAAUCGGUGAUUCAUCGAGCUAUCCUCACAAGUUUAUCCUACCUUUAAAAUUAUUCUUAAUCAUUGCAACUUUUGUACUUUCAUCAUCUGAAAGAAUAAUCAGCAAAUGUACCACCAUCAUUUUUCACAUUUAUCAUCAAUUAUUUUCAAUUUUAUCAUGUUUUUAAAUUUGUUAUGGUUAUAAUAUAUAAUAGAUAUAAAGAGAGGGAUUUAGGCCCACUUAAAAUCUAAAUCAUUGCGAAUACGAUACGGAGNNNNNNNNNNNNNNNNNUAUGGAAGAUUAUAGGUCUUGGAAACUUCUUGGUUAUUUAAUAGGUCUUUUGAAACAUUUAGUUCUGAAAAAAAUGAUAUACAAAUGAUUUUAAGAUUACAUGAUGUAUAGGCUAAGAGUCUUGAAAGCAAUACAGACAUUUUCAGUUUUUCAUAUUACAUCCAAUAGUUCAAUUUUUUGAUUUACAAUUUAAGUCAUAGAAUUUUGUAGUUGGUUUUCACACUUUGUAUGUAUCAUAGCUGUGCACCUUUAAGUUAAUAUCCUCAUCUCUAAUGUACUCAUUCGACUCUCUUUGGCUGUUAAAAAAGAGAGGACAAAGAAAAAUAUUUUAAACUUUUGAUAAUAAAAAAGGAAUUCAAAUAAAAGAAAAGCAAAUAGAUUUAAGAAUUUGUUUAAAAGAUUCUUCUCCAAAAAUAGUGAUUUUAGGCACGUCGGUGAAAACAAUUCAAAUGUAUCAUAAUAAAUUUUCUGAUAGCAGUUUCUAAAAUUUAGUUACUUUUUUGCUCAUCAUUUAUUUUUCUUCUCUUUCACUUUCAUUAGCAUGUAUAUAGUUAUUUUAUAAAAUUAUAUUUUUUCUUUUAAACGUAAAAUUUUUAUUCAUGUCUUCAAGAGAUGCAAAAGUUACACAAUACUUUUUCUUUCUUCAGCUGAACAACACUUACGCGGCAUCUUCUGUUCUAUUUCGAUGAUAAUUGCAUGAUACCUCAAAAAUCAUCGAUCUGUUCUAGAAAAGAAAUCAAAAAUCAUUGUCAUUCCAACGCACUUAAUUCGCUAUGAGAUGUGUAAUUGAAAGAUUAAGCUUAUAAAGUUGCGGAUUGUAUUGCAUUCUAUAUUAUUAGCCACUUGAGAGGUAUAUUUUGGAAGGGCUCUUUCGGAAUUUUUACUUUUUUGUGAUAUUUUUUUUACUGAUUUUGUUGGAUGUAUUCAUUUCGAGCAUAUAUGACUCAUCCAUCUCAUAAAAUAAAAAAAAUAAAGCUCUAAUUUAAGGAUUGUAUUAGUUGGGUAUUGUUAGCAAGAUUGAAAACGAGCUACAACCAAAAACAAUGCAUGCGGAUGUAUGAUCUACAUGCGAUGUGCUUAGUACUUGAUUUUUUUUUGCUGAGAGUUUUGCUUUUAAUAAGUUUCUAGCUAGUUUAUGAGGUGAACAUGAGAACCAGAGCAAUCCAUCUUUUUUACAGUGCAAAUUAGGUUGCAUUCUAUAGCACUUCCCCUUUAUCCUGUAGCAUGGUGGUGGGGACCAAGUAUCGGUCACUCACUUCCCACACCAAAGAGUCCCUUCUAGCUUCUUGGCGUUGGCUUAAACAAGGUGUGCCGCCUUGACCGAAUGUAGAUAGCGCCAGCCAAAGAAAAUUCCGCACUAAUGCUCCUUCCAAUUCCAAGUUAUACUUGGCUAAGAAUGAAGUAUUGCACUCCUCUUCGGAACCUUAAGCUUUGGUGGUUAAUGAAGACAACUCAAAUGAGAAUGCUGAGGUAUCAAAGGUAGCUUUGAUUCGAUGGUGAAAAGGAAAUACAAAUAUUCUAAGGAGGAAAGAUGGUCCCUUCCUCAGCCAAAUCCAAGGGGGUUGAUAUACCCUGCCUUGGCCCAAGUCCCUAAGGACCGAAUUAGGCAAUAUGCCUACCCAAGCCUCUUGGCCGAAUGCACUUUACAAGUGGCUAACUGAUACAAUGUCCAAAAGUCCCUUUCCCCACUCAAUUCAAAUCUAUUUGUAGACCCUUACAUUGGCAUGCAGUGGCUUCUCCUUUUGGCUGGCGGUUUGGAUCCUUUGGCAACUCCUUUGGAACUCCCACUGCAGUGGCUGCUGUCUUAAUCCGGUUGCCAUUUGGUUGCUAACGGUUUGCCCGGUGGUUCAAAGGAUUUCUGGUGGUUGGCUGGCUGUUGCUUGUCUUGGUGGCAGUUGCUUGCAGUUUCUUGCUGUUAUGGCAUUUGAUUGCAGUUGUGGUUGCUGGCGGUUCCUUGCAGUUGGCCAAGCUCUGGCUACUACAGAGGCCUUUGGUUGGUCGGUUUUGGCUGCUGACACUCCUCUGGGUUUGCCUCUGCAGAUGGCUGGUCAUGUGGCUAGGGCCUAGCGUGCUGGCCAAGCCCCUGUUGCGCGCGGUUUGGCGGACUGCGUGUGGGCAUGGGCAAGUCAUGGGCCGCCCUUGAUUUUCCACGCUUGACCCUUUGGUUAGGCCAGAUGGUUCCUGCUGUGGUUUGACCCUUUGGCCGCUUGGGCACUGACAGUCCGGCCGCUGGGCGCCUGGGCAUUGGUCGCCUGGCCGCUCGGUGGUCACCUCUUGCUCGCGCCCGCGCGCACACGGACCUAGCUUCCGCGUGCGCAGGCGGUUGCUUUCCGUUGCACAUGGCGUGUGUGCGCGUUGGUCUUGGGCGCCAAGGGCCCGUGCGCGUAGCUGGUUCACUGCGGUUGCCCCCUGCUCGCGCGUGCGCUGGUCUUUGGCGCGCGCCGGCAGUUGGCUCCCGUUGCUUAUGGCGGUUGCCCCUUGCUCGCGCGUGCGCUGGUCUUUGGCGCGCGCCGGCAGUUGCCUCCCGUUGCUUAUGGCGAUUGCCCCUUGCAUGCGCGUGCGCUGGCCUGAGCCGAGGAUGCCAUGGCUGUGCACACGCCGGUCCUCUUGUCGUUUGCCUGUGGCUGCGCGCGCGCAUUGGCCUGGAUCAAAGGCAUUCAGACCAUGCGGGCGCUGGAUAUUUGGUUUGGCCCUCCCGGUCACUCGGUUUGGCCUGCACAUGGCCCUCCUAACCAAAUGCCUGUUUCGAUUGCUGAGGCGCCCCAGCCGAUGGUCUGCGAUCUUGGGCGUGCCUCUGCCGUGCCUUGUCGAUGCUGCUAUUAGCCCAGCCUUUGCCUGCCAAGGCUGGCGGACCCUCGGUUGUGCCCCUAUAAAUGAGAGAUGGCCACUAGACGGACAUGAGCUUGGCUCUUGUUUUGCCUUGGCCUCCAUGAUUUGGUGAGGAGAUAUAGAAGGAACCUCACCACAUGGUAGGCAAUGAAUGUGAAGUGCUUCUUGGCUUUUUCUUUGCGCUCGAAUAAAAAUAUUAUGAACUUGAGACACGAUCAUACUCUCUUUUGCAGGUUACAAACAGCCUCUUUUGGCAGGUGUUAGGUUUAGAAUCUUUUAAUGAGGGGUUAGCUACAUUUCCAAGUGGAUGACCAUACUCCAACCUGAGCUCGCCAUCUUACCUGUGUAUCGACAAGUAUAUGCAUCUCAUUUUGCUUUACUAACGAGCCUAAGUGAGAGAAAUUUUUAUGAAAGCUGCUUGAAAGGAUAUGGGAAGCACCAAUCUUGUCAUCAUUGCCUCCAAGCCAUUUUUUAUUUACACUUAAUGCAGCUUGGCCCAACUUCCAUCACUUCUUUGCCUCAUUUUAUGCAUACAAGGGUGUCAUGGAUGGGACCGAUGGGUGGAAGCAUCCCAGCUAUAGAGUAGCCUAAUGUUUCAGAUGAUAUGCAGUGAAUUGCAUAUUGCUUACCAUCUGGCCCAUAUGGCUAGGCCUUCUUUGUAGAGAAAUUAUAUCCGGUGCACCAUGUCAGGGAUGCACCAUAGGAACAAUCCGACGCGAGGUGAGAGGGCGAAAUCCAAUACAAGCAGCACAAUGAUGGGGCUUACAGGAACGAAAAAUUUGAUUGGUGUAGUGCACCGCUGACAUGAUGCACCUUGCAUAGGGACUAAUUUCUUCUAUUCGAUUUCAGUUUCUUAUUAUAUAGUGGAAAUGCCUCACAAUAUUCAAUUUUACCUUUACGCUCAAGGAAAGAAAUGUUCUUGGUGGAUGCAGGACCUGGUACCCUCAAAAUUUGUAUGCAAGAUGAGCCUAUAGGAGUGCCAAUCAACCGAGCCACCAGGUUUGAAAAUAAGGUGGGAUCAUAAUUUUAUGGGAUCGUGAGUUGCACCAUGACCUACCAUCCAGAUUAAUUUCGAGUAAAUCUUUCAAUAUCUAGUCCUCGAUCUCAUAGUGGUCGAGUUUUGCCCUUCAGGGAGUUUUCCAUAACUCUCCUGCUCUGCCUGCCCCCAUCCACCAAGUCAUCUAGGUCAGCUGCAAUGCAAUAGUUGUCCAUAUUCAUGCAUGGAUUAGUUGGCUUUGUAGAAUUUUGUUUUGCUCCCCAUGGUUGGUAGCACCUGUAUGACCUUGGUAUUUUCAUUGUUCUUUUCGUUUUGCUUAAUACUAUAUAUAUCUAGGUUGUGUUUCUAUCUUACUUAUACUAUAUCAAUAAUACAAUGAGCUUAGUCGCUUUCGCACCAAAAAACAAAAACAAAAAGAAAAGAAAAGAAAACCUCAUAGGGGUUUAGUAAACCCAUAGGUCUACCUCUGUUGAGUUUAUUGGGUUUGGCCAAGUUAGAGAUUUCAGAAUAGCUGGUGCCAUUGAGCCAUUCAGCCAUUGAGGGACCUACAUGAUCUUUGUGCUGGUGCCAAACCAACUCAUGACUGGAGCUUGAUAGGUGUGAGAAAGGGUCUUUAGCACCAAAGGCACUCCGGAGGACCAAGGUACAAAACCAGGGGACAACAAGUUAAACUGCACAAACGAUGAAUGGCGAGGAGAAAAUUGGUUCUCCUCGUCAUCAUUUUUCCUUGAAAAGAAAAGGAGAAACAUGGAGCUCAAGAUUCAUGCAUGUUUUUGUCCAGUGAGGACUGCUUUAGUUUUUCCAUGGAAAGCUCAUGUAUGUGGUGUGCAUGAAUGUUGAUCUUUUCUUGACUGUUUGAAAAAAAUGAUCCUUUUACUGAAUUUUAUAAAUCAAUUCUGAUGAAGCAGCAUCAUUUUGAGAAAUGACUAGGAAUUUUUGAUUGGGUUUCUUUUACACGCACUACAAAAAAAAUCAGACAUUGCCGAUGCUUUUUAAUAUAUAUACCAACGUUUAUAAGCAUCAUCUUAAUCUCUUGACUUCCGACGACGUUUAUAAGCAUCGUCUUAGUUUAAUUUCUGACGAUGCUACUAAAAAGCGUCGGUAAAUUUUAGCGCGGUGACUAAAUUGCCAAUACUUUUUUCUAGCAUCGGCAGAUCACAGUCGGAGAAAGCUAUUUUUUCUAUAGUAACAUAUCAAUCUUCGGUUUUAUGAAUGAAAAAUCUUUUAAAUAUCUGAGUUGUCACUUGCUGACAUAAUUCCCUAUAGUGGAUGUAGUUUACAAGGUAAGGAGUUCCAUAAAAAAACGGGGAGUGGUUACAAAUAGGUGACCCAGAUCAAUAAGACAAAACCGAGAGAUGCUAUUUUGUGCUCUUCACCUUUGUAAGGCCACUCGAAUCCCAAUUUUUUCUCCUCCUAUCCCUAUCGUUUGCUCUUAUUUUAUGCAAAAUCAUCAUAGGGAUUGUGUUUCAAUGUGCUCUUUGACUUGGACUUUAUGUUUUAAAAGUGAAAGUGGUUAUAUAAAACAUUAUUGUUUUCCCCUCUAUAUUUCCAACUUUUUCUAAGGGAAUCUUGAACUGUUGCUCCUUUAAUAGAUUAUUAGCUUAAAACACUUGAGUUAUAAGGUAGUCUUCAACUUUGAUGAUAAGAACAAUCUCAUAUGGACUGAAACUUGUAGCUGACUACGCUCAUUAGAAGAAGUCUACAUGCAGGAUUAAAGAUCAUAGCCAUAGCUUAAGGGCAACGCACUCUGAUAACAUUAAGUAAUAACAACUAGGGAAUUACUUUAUCGGCGCAUAUUAUCCUAAUGCCAGUCUUGAAAUUAUAACUCUUAUGACCACAAUUGAACUUGUAACAUUUUUAUGACGCAGAGGGUAGAUAAUGCAUCAACCACAGGAUAUAGUUUCUGAUUGCAGAGAAACAAAUUCUAGGAUGACAAUUUGCUGAAUGGAACCAAAGCUAGCCAUACCAAUGUUCAUGCCAUAUUCAUAGGACUAACAAUUAAGUAGACACCUUUCCCCCUCAAAAAAAAGAAGUAAGUAGACACAACUCAUGAACAAUAUACAUGCCCUAAACGCAGAGCAGACAAGGAUAAGUGGACAAGUAAUCAAACCUACAAGUUCAGUGCAAUUCUAGAGUUAGGAAUUGAUGGGCUUGCCUUUCCUUUUCUCUCAGAAGAAUAAAAUAAAUGCAAUUCUAAAGUGAUCAUCCAUGAUCCAGAUGGCUAAAAGGUUAUAUGUAGCAAACAACAAUUUUUCUUAACUGCAAAUGAUGUAUCUAGCAAGUAUUAACAACUAGGAAGAGGAAAUAAAUGAAUGUAUUGAAUGCUAAUUCAAAACAAAUGUAUGACUUCCAAACCAAUUCACAUCAAAAGAAAAAAAAAGACUUCCAAACCUAAUUCACAGUUGCUAGCUAUUUUCCUUUACCAUAUGUCAAAUACAAAAAAUGUUGUUCUAAGUCAACUAGCAGUAGCUUAGCUCAUUGGCAUCCCUCUCCAAAAAUAAAAUAAAAUAAAAAUAAAAAUAACAAUAAAUAUAAAAAUUCAAUUCUUUAUAUAGGCUUCAUAUUGAAAUAAUCUUGCUUUCUCUUGGCAAACACCGCAUAUAGAAUUAUACGCCUUCAGAAGCAUAUGCUUUGGUGAAGUACUAAUAUUAGAAGAUUUAAUCCCAAAUCCAUCAGCAAAUAUGAACAACAUAAAAAAAUAUUAUAUCUUCUUGAAUGACUUGCUCCAAAAAGCUUCGACAUGAUAGUGUAAGUUUAGCAUCCUUAACCCCCUUCUUUUUUAUAUAAUCAAAGAAUAUUGAUGGCUAGAUAAUUGGCAUUCUUGAAGCCUAAUAAAUUGAGCCAUACUCGAAGAGAUUUGCAAAACUAGUAUAGAUAAACUUUUUUUUAGUUGGAUCGGUUUGUUUACAAAAUUCUUGAAUAAAUACAUCCACUUGCAUCAGCGACAAAAAAGUUACAAAAAUUUUCCGAUAGGGCAAAAGCAGUUUCCCAGGUCUCUAAGCCAGUAUGAUCGAUUUGUCAUGUAGAAAGCUAUCCAGUCUGCAGCUCUAUAGCCUUCCUAAAGACAUGCUUAACAAUAUAUGAAGUCAUACUCGACUUGGGCCUCCAAAUAUCCGUCAUGAGGGGAUGAGUGGACCUUUGAUCCCGAGCUGCUGAGGUGAUACAGUUUAUAACUAUCAUUACUCGAAGUAGAUGAUGAAGAUGCUAAUUGGCUUGGUGUUGUGAAUUCUCCAAGACCUUCCCCUACCUUCUUUGCCUCAUCUCCUUUAUGUUCCUCACAUGCAAUGCCAAGGCUGGUGGAGUCAUCAAGUACUCCUCUUCCUUCUUCCUUACUGCCUCGAAGCCUAAGAUUCAAGCACUCCGAUAUACCACUGAUAGCAUAGAGAGACGCAGAGAUCCUCCUCUCAUAUUUCAUCCUCUUCAUUGGAGAUGCAAACAUCCACUUCUCAUCUCCGGCGCCACUCACCUGUUCGAUUGGCUCCAUGAUCUCCUCCACAACCUCAAAUGGCGAGUAGAGGCAAGAAGACCCCUCCAAGGAAUCCACGAAUCGGAAAUCCAUAGCUUCCAAAUCUCCCAUUCCUCCCUCCUCUCCUACUCCACCCUCCUCACCUACUACCUUGGUACCAACUUGACCCACCAUCACUAUAUUCUGGUCCAAUUCCCUCCCCCCUUGCUCUUCCUCCCUGGUGCAAUUAGAUUGCACACUCUUGCAUACAUCAUCAUGAAACCUGGUAUCAUUUGUAAGAAUAGAAUCUGAUACGUUUGGAUCAUCCAAGAAGUCGGCGAAUUGGAAGUCAUCGAUAUCAUCUAGUCCUUCAUCGCCACACUGCUCCUGCUGCUGUGGUAGCUGCUGGUUUUCAGGCAAUGGAACAGUAGCACCGUCAGCAGCAAGAGAGUUACUGGCUUUGAGCCUCGCGAGGAGGAGGCCGUAAACCUUGGAUGGCAGGGCCGGCGGCAAGCGGUGCGACACCGGAGAGCAUGGCCAGAAGUUGGUACGAGUGCUGGCCCCCCGAAGCAGGCAGGCAGCCUCAUCGUAGGCCCGAGCGGCAUCCUCGGCCGUAUCGAACGUACCAAGCCACACCCUUAUCUUCUGGACUGUGUCCUUGAUCUCUGCCACCCACCGUCCUGAAGGCCGCUGUCGUACCCCAACAAAGCGCUUCUGGGGACGGCGAGCACCCCCAGAGGCAGCCGCUUCCAUCGCAGCCUCAUCCCAGCUGCUGGUCUUGGCCUCUACCGCUACAAGGCCUCUUCUCUUCCUCACCAUCUUCUACUCUCAUCUACCUGCUUGAAUUCCUUCACUUGCAUCACCAAGAACCUAUUGGGGGAUGAUGCUAUGCUCAGGUCAUUGCACCACAAAGUGCAUUUGUAGUCGUAUAUAUGAACGGUUGACGGUGAUAUAUGGACAAAUGAAAGAAAUGGAGCAACGAAGACUUUGCUGCUUGGUCCCAUCUCUGUUGUUUCCUUGGGUUUUUGGCUGAAAGAGAGGGGGAGGGAGGGAGAGAGAGAGUCUUGUUGCGUGGUGCCUCUUUAUUUAUUUGGUUUUGAAUGGGCGGGUUUGCCCCGGUCUUCAUGUCGACAAGUUGUUCCGUCUUAUCGGCCUCAUGAUCUAUAUUAGUGCUUAGCCUGCUUUUGUCCAAGGCAAUGUAGUUGUCUCGCAUGCAUAUCAUUUGUGGUGAAUAAAUUUUUGGGUUUGUUUGGUUUGCGGAAAUUAUUUUUUCUUUUAGAAAUAUGAUUUCUGCAAAGUAGAUUUUUAGAAAGAGAAUAAUUGAGAAAGUACUUUUGGCAUGUUUGAUUGAUAAUGGAAAACUGACAGAUUUUCAGAAUAAAUUUAUUAAAAUGAUAGUAAAAAAAUAUUUCCCAAAUUGUUCUAGAUUUUCCUUAGGGUGAGUCUACUCUAAAUUAAUCUAAUGUAAUUGAAUGAAACAAGAAUCAAUUAACAAUUCACAAAGCUUGGAAUUUAUUCAUGACUUAUUCACAACUAAAAGAAUCAUUUAGGAGUUACCAAUCAAAUACUAAGAUUGCUAUAAUAAUGGUGUUUUCGCUAUUACUUGUAAUUGAUUCCUUCCAUGCUUUGAAAAUUUUACAAAAUCAAGGAAAAGUUUUAAUAACCCGCAUUCGUUUAGAAUUUUUUAGCAAAUUCUCUAUAUAUUUUUUUCCUUCCAAAUUCCCAUCUUUGCCUUUUGUUGAAAUGCUCAGAAAAAGCCAAACUUGCGACCAUGUUAGUGGUGGAAAUAAAGUAUUAUUACAAAUCUUCUGCACAAUUUUCUUCAAAAAAAAAAAAAAAACAUGAAUCACACCUUUUUUAUUGGCAUCAAACUGUGUCAGUAAAAUAUUAAAUAUCAAAAAUUCACAAAAAUAAAUAAUAACAUAAAUCAGAGAAAUUUGUUUUUGCACUUGUACUAGAUAGAAAUGAGUUGUGGAUGGGUAGAGCUAGUUAUAUUAGACAGGAAUAAUUCUGUGUUUCUCUUGCAGAUGACUAUCGUUUUGAGGUCGGGAGAGAAAAACUCGGCCAAGGCGGCGGCGAUCAGAUGGAUUUACAUUGAGUUAUCAGUUUGCUAUUGUCAUUGUUGAAGAGUGAUAGAAACAAUGGUUUCUUCAGAGUCUCACCAUGUUCCUUGGAUAAUCCACUAGAGCUAAAAGAUAACAACAUGGUGACUAAACACAAUCUAAUAUUCUACACACAUCCUCUUCUAAGACUCGACCACAAAGGCAAGCUGUCUGAUGAUGAAGAGGAACAGCAUUUUCCUGGACUCAUCUGAUCAGUGUUUAUUCCCAGGUGAAAGAGAUUGGAGAAACAAGAUUGCAUGCAGCUGCAGCAAUUGGGAAACAGCAUAAAUUAACAUACAGAUACAAAAUUACAGAUUAUGUCAUUGUUUGAGAACUCUGAUGCAUGAGAUGGACCCAAACCCAUCAAACAACUAUAUCCUAACCUGGUACUGCUGAUCUAUAUUCUUCAGACAUGAUGAUGCAACCGGAUCCGAAAUUUACCUAGCCAAAGGAAUCUUAAAAAACCAAGCCAUCUUGGUUAGACCCAAAUUUAUGGAACAAUCCAGGCUCAGCCUUAAAUUUAGGCCUAAGUUGAAAUGAACUGACAUUAGGCUUUUUCCCCCUUUUAUUUUCUAUUAUUUCAGUCGCAAAUGUGUGCACAACAAGAGCAGAAGAGCUAGUUAUAAGUACAUGAGGACCAUUCAUCACCCUUGAGCUACACUGCAAGCAAAACCACAUCAAAAAAAGAAAAACCAAGGAAUGCAAGCAGGACCUAAAACCAAGUCAUGCUGGGUUGGUUCGAGCAAGAUCCAGACUAACCUACAUAAUUGCACCCUAGUCGGCACUUUCAGACAAUGGUAAUUAGGAAUUUAUGAUAAUGUUCAUGAAUUGAGGAUCCAUCUUUCCAAACAAAAAAUGGUGAUGAUAUUGAUACGAUAGGGUUUUGUGGGGCACAAUACCUCGGUUAAGCAGUUUAUACUUAAUUUAUACGGAAUAGAAGAGUAGAUUAUAGUUUAUAAGGCACAGAGGAGAAGUAGAAAUGGCUGUGGGAGUAGGGACCAUGUGGUGGUCCAAAAACAAAAAAGAGGCCAGUGGUAAAGCCGACGAGGCUUGCCUUUUUUUGUGUCUGUUUGUGGCUCUUCCCUUCUCGAAAAUGCCAAACCCCUAGGAGAGAUUUAUUAAAGAAAUAGUGCCUAGUUGCUAGUGUUUUGAAAGUGAGAGUGAGAGUGAGAGAGAGAGAGAGAGAGAGAUGCCAAGAGAAGCAACAGUUGGGAAUCAAUAUAAAAGAAAGAUUAUAUUGUUUUGAUCAGACUUCAAUCAAAAGAGAAAUAUUAAAAGGAGAAUAUGGAUCUUUGUAUGUAUGAAGAGAUGGGAGGGAGAUGCAUUGUGACUUGUGAGUGAUGCUAUUAUCAAUGCCUAGCUUAACCAUUGGGACCAAAAGGAGCAAACAAGAAGAGCAUCUUCGCAUAAGACCUCCAUUUGGCACCAUUAAAGUUGUCCAAGUACCUCUGAAAGGCCGUAAAGCUAAGUCUUUUCCCCUUAUACCAACCAAAGCCAAAGAAAAAGUUGAAUGGUUUAUUAUGAAGUUUAAACUCAGAAAAUAGGCAUACUGUAAAAAAAAAAAGUAAGAGCUUUUGGAUUAGGAUAGAAAAGAAACAAUUUGAAACAUAAAUAUUUUAAAAUAAAUAUUAGCUUCUGUGCCUUCUAACACAAUAACAAUCUGCACCGGCCGCAUGACGAUCAAAAGAAAUAGCAGCUCAAAAAUAGAGCUGAAUCUGUAAUACAAAAGUAAUCGAUGAAAAUGAUGUGCAAGAUGAUUGGCAAUUUCAUUAUCCAAGGAACAGGGUCAAAUAUUUCAGCCAUAAAAAACCUGAGAAUAACCAAGGAAUGUUCUGGACACCUGCAAAUUAAAUUAGCCAACAAGCCUGCCUCCACAUGGAGACCUGAGGAUAGUUCAUUUUCAUUAGGACAAAUAGUCAAAUGUAUCAGAAAUAUAAAAAGUUCUCUUUUUUUCAUCCAAAGUCAAAUAGGUUAGGUGGAGGUGGGAAGGAGAGAUGGCAAUCACUGGUUUUAUUCAGUAUGAUAGAAGAAAGACAUAUGGCAAAGUAGGUGUUUGAUUGAUGACAAACUACAUCCUUUUUUUUGACCCCUUCAAGACCAGCAUAUCCACUUCAGCAGGCUUGGAAGUGGAAAAACUGCUGGGAAGUGGAAAGGUUGCUUUAGGUGGUGUCUCCACUUGGCAAGCUCUGAGAACUAUGCCUUCAUUGAAAUGGUUGAAUUCAUGGAUACACUGAACCAUCUGAUCUCCCAUAACCUCACUGAAAUUAGUAUUCACAACUGUGUUGUAGUCUUACAAACCAGCGAGACAUGUUCGACAAAAUCAAAAGGUCUCCUGCCCUCUAGGAGCCACCUAUGUGCAUGCCAAUCUAGGGCAUCUUCGAACUCUUUUGCCCAAAAUAAUACAACACAUGAAUUCAUGGGCGCUAUUAUCGCUGAAAAAAGGGUCUUUAACUCUUCUUUUUGCAUGCCCAUGUCGGAAUGUGGCAAAGACCAAAUAAGUGGACUAGGGCUAGCUGCAUUGUGCUAUGACAUGGAUAAUAACCUUACAUAAGCUGUGCUAAUUCUUCAACAAUAUCUUCUCUUGAAUCUUUUCAUGAUCAUGUAUCACUCCUUAGAAAUAACCUUCUUAUAAUAUAAUGCAUACAACAGUUUACAUAAAAACGUGUGCCUUAUAUAGGUUUAAUCUCCCAUCAAAAUAUUCGUUUGAAAGAUUUUACUCUCUUGUCUGCAUUCAAUGUCUCCAACAUGGUUGACUUCCACUUCACCAUUCCAUAAACCUUCAAUUAAUAUUGUAACAGACUAAACCUUCCAAUGACUUCCCUAUAUCCUGCUGUAAAUAUCACUUCCCAAAUAAUGGUUAAAGGAGCCACUAGAGCACCAAGUAGCCUUCUUAAGAUCCACACAUCUAAAACGAUAAAGUCAUAAGCCCUUGCUGACUCAAAAAUUAUGCCUCUUAUCAGUAUAUUUUCCCACAAAAUCAUGCCUUCUAGAAAGCUUAGCAUACCCAUCAACAUACUGCGCCAAACAUCGAUGAGUCCACUUGAGCCUUGGCCUAUAAAUAUAUUUCUUCCCUCUAUUCUCACAUAACAGUUGGGUGAUUAAAGGCAUUAUGCCUCCAAUAAAUCCUAAUUAUAGAAAAAUACUCCUCCCUCACUAUGGACUCGUUAUUCUUUUGUUCUUAUCAAUAGGUGCUUCAGUCAGCAGGUUAGCACCUCUCUCCUCACUCCUCAGCACUUGCACCAAGGAGAGGUUCUGAUGCAAAUUAGAAAGUGACAGUCCCAGAGUAAUUCUCAACAAAAGAUUAAAAAAAAUAAUCUUGUUUUCGCCUAAUCAUCUGUCCUAUCUCUUGCAUCCAUCUGCAUGAAGAAGUGCAAAAAAAAAUAUAGUCAAGUUUUUAUUUGCAACUUUAUACAUUUUAUUUUUUCCAAGAAUGACUUUUUCACUGCUAGGAUACUUGCCCCUUCCAUGCUGACAGAGUUCUAUAAUAGAGGAUGCAUAAGUUUUGAAGGUCAAUUGCAUAAAUCUGCAAACAACACAUGCUUAAAAGUUUAGACCAAUUUUUGAUUGGGACUGCACAAGUUUUAAAUUCUGUUUGCACAAAAUUUGAGAAAAGUUACAGAAUUUUUUCAACUACUAAACCAAGAGAAUGCGCAGGCAUGCCAGCAUGGAAGGGGCCAAGAGCAUUCUAAUUCCAUUCCUGAAAAAAGGGAAAAAGGGCUUAGCAGGUUACAGAUAGCAAAACUAACUAUAAUUUUUUCUGCGAAAUCCCAAGUGACAUACAAAUUUUUGCUUUUUACCUGUUAAGGUAUUGUUAUCUGAAUUUAAUAACCAUAAGACUAAUCUUUUUAGAAGCUUCCAACGUGGUAGUAUGCAAAUGAUAACAAGACGAGAAAUUAUUAUUAGUUCAGUAGCGAGAUUACAAGCACAAGGACAUGAAAAAGUUUUUUAUAUUACUUCUUGCCAGCCUGGUACUAUGAUUGAAACACGUAUAGCAAUAAAAUAAAGUACUCAUAUAGACAUCAUAGAUUCCAUAUUCAAUAUUGCUACAAGUACUUAUAUAGACAUCAUGAGAUUCUGUAUUCCAUACGGUUACAUGGAAUGACAGCAUCCAACCAAAACUUCUAUCAUUCUGAGAUUGAAUGGAAUUAGAGAAUAUAUACAUCAAAAAAAUUAAAAGAAUGAGCUUAAGCAUAUGUAUGAUUGUACAGUGCCAAAACUAACGCAGCCAUAUCCUUGUAUUUGAACUUGACAGACAUGUUCUUCAGAUUUUAGAAGAAAGAAAAAAAAUGAAUAACAAAAAAACAAGCUUAAGCAUUUAUAUAUGAACCUGUGAUCAUGAAAUACUACAGUUAGCUGAACAUUUUGUUAUUGGACUUGACAGCCUUCUUCUGCAGCUCUCAGAAAGGUGAGCCCACGUGAUAUCCUCUGCAGAUGAUCAAGUAAACAAGAAGAUAAGUCAUCAUACAUUGACAGACAGUGACAUGAGCAGGAAUAUAUCCUUAAACCACACCUCUCGAGUGUCUCUCAAACGCAAUAGUUCCAACCUUGCUGAUGGCCUUAAGUUUAACAAGUUAACAAGCUGCCCAGACAUGAGAGUCAAACAUAUGGCACAAUUAUAUAACAUACACCAAAGCAGGGUUACAAGAAAUACCCAGAAACUAAAUCGCUCUGGAUCCUGUGGUCCAGGCAUGCCUUCAGCUUCAGGAUGCUCCAUUUGCCUUGACCUCCUUCCUGGAUAUAAUUCAUGGUUGUAACUUAUGGUGCAUAGACAAGCUUAUUUUUCAGCACAAUUACAUAGCGGAAUACCAAUAAAGAAGGAACCACAUAAAACUAGCAUGCAAGGUCGGACAUUUAUGAGUCACUGAACCAGACAAAGGUCUUUAAUUGGAAAUGAACUUUAACCCAUGCAACUUUAGACCGCUGCCGUUUGGUUCGUUGUUGAUCCUGUGGUCUAAAUUUUUGCACAUUGUCAGGUAGUUAAUAGAAUGAAUCAAGGCUUUACUUCCAAACAAAUAUGAGAGUGAGUUUGUGUGUGUGUGUGAAUCUGAUCGUUUGUAGCUGAAGCAGAUUCCAGGACUUCACAGCACAACAACAUGUGCAUCUUGUAUCCUAACAAACGCAUACGCGAUUACGCACCAUUUCGUGCAGUAUUUCUUGCAUGCCUGAUCCACAUUCUAGCCUGUGAUGCUGCUCCACUAGCCAUUUGCUGCAACUGUUGAGAAUUCAACACAAAACACUCAUCAAUAUGAUGUAUUUUUCUUAAUUGAAAUAGUUUGGUAUCAGGAAAAUGAUAUAGUCAUAAAAAGCAUGCAAUGUUAUGACAUUUUUUGAGUGAUCCUGGAAGUUCCAUAAACUAGUGAUCAUGUAAAUUGCAACUGUGAGUGACAAUAAUCUAUCACCAAGCUGACAAGCCAACAUCAAGUCAUGGUUAGUAUGUCAUGUCACCUGUAAGAUAAAGUACAAAUCUUUCUUCCAUGCAUAACCAUUAACUGUUUGAAGUUGGAUUUUAUUUAGUUCACAGGUUGAGCUAAAUAGAGAAUGUUUCUUUCCAUUCCUCGUGAGCCACUUAUUUCUCCGAAACAAGAGAUCAAAGUGAUUUUCCUCCUUUUUCCCAAAUAGUCGACGGUCUUACACCAUUGGGAUACUUCGAAUAAACUGGAGUACAUAUAGGAAACACCGGUGCGAAAACCUUUUCUCGAGAUAUCUUCCAAAGUCUUAGGAUCGUUGCUCCCGAUCUUGG
rnacentral:lncRNA from 1 species